UGGCUGCGCCGCGUCCCAGGACGCCUGACCCUGGGAGAGGGCAGGAAGCUCCAGAGCGGGCACCUACCUUGGGCAAGCUGCCCAGGCCAGGGGGUGGAGAAGGUGGACGCGGGAGUAUGCACUUCUGGAGCUCUGAUUUCCUGCCGUUUGCAGUUAAACCGGUCUUAGCCGGGAAGAGGGACCAAGGGUGGCAAGGAAAACUCUCUGAAGUGACUUUCUGCGCCGGCAAAGUUUUGGUGGCAGUGUUGUUGUGGCUGCCAGCUGUCUGAAGCCAGAGAGUGUGUAUGUCCGUUUUCACCCGCAUAGUCGUGGGACUGGAGACUCUGUUCUCCUCCAGCGAAGGUGAGGGGCACGCCUGUGUCCCUCGGGUCCUCUCCCCUGGGCAGGCACCGGCGUGAGCUCCCUGGCAGGCUGAUCCCGCAGCUGCCCUCCUGGCAUCGGGGAGGACCCGGGCAGCCCCGCCUGCGCUGGUGAUGGGCCGAGCGCUGCACAAAGGCAGGCAGGGGCUCCAGGUACCGCGGAGCACCUGGCGGUGGCCCGGGCUGCGGGGACCCUGUGACGACAGCGCGCAGGGGCAGUCACGCUGGCGGGGAGCCCAGGCCCGUAGGGUCCCUGUGUGGGGUAAACACCUCCUGCGGAGGGCUCCACCCGGUCCCCAGCUCGAGAGGACCGCCACCCUGGUCUACAUGCCACAACUCUCCGAGAACGUUCCCGGUUUUGUUCCUUUCCGCUUGGCACUUGGGGGAGUGUAUGGCAUGGACUGCCUCUCUCUAACUCAUUUGAGACUUUUGCCACUACCCAGAGGAGUCCCCAGCCUAACUACCCUCCUCUCACAGUUCCAAUAACCUUAGCCACAUCCCCUGGACUUUGCCGUGGUGUGGCUUUCCUACCAAAGGACGAAAACAAAGAUUGAAUUUUGAAGAGAUAGCCAGUCCACCCGGACCAAAAGAAAAGAAAAACUUUUUAAAAACUUAAAAAAAAAAGUUUUAAAAAUUCUAGAAGGCUUCAAAGUUUCCACACUUGCUUCUUGGUGGAGGAACUUGUCCUCUUGACUUUCUCGUUGUUUACUGGCGGUGAGGGGGAAGCUUACUAAAAAAGAUGCCUAGCAUAGCGCUGGCUUGAGAAAUCCCCAGAUCCCCAGCGCCAAGCAUCCACCCCGCAGGCCGGGUUGAACCCACAUUGAGCUUACAAACAGUCCUUACCCUCGCGCUGUUUAUUCAAAAGAAUGAUUUUAAAACAAACGAAACCUUUAAAAGGCAUCCUGGCCCCAAGCUUUUACUUUCCUCAUAGUUCAAAAUUAUCUCACCUUUGCCCCCGAGAGCAAAUACUUCAUUUAUAAAUAAGCUUCCUCCGCCAGUUUCGAGGUUUCAGAAGUCAGUCCACUCUCAGAGCAUGCCCUGAGCUGCAUUGGGUGGAGUUUCUCCGGUCUCUGACCGCUUGAAUCUGAACCGUGUGAGUCCUGGUGCCUAAGAAUUGCUUUCCAUGGUUCAAUAUUUCCUUAAAAAAAAAAAUCAAUGUGUUUAUGGUCAAGGACUUAAAGAAUUUUACUAUCUUUAACUGCUUAAGUGAUACCUUGAGAAAAAUCCUUUGUAAACUCACUUUUUUGGCUGUGUAGAUCCAAAAUUGGCCUGUGGUGUUUUUUCCAGAGACGUGGGAAAACACGCUCAAUUUAGCUCCUUGCUUUUGGGGUAGCUGAGUUGGUCCAUCAGAGGUGGAGGAGGUGUGUCUUAUGAGUCCCUUUCUCAGUUGAUUUAUCAGGGUAGACAGGGUGUAGUCACCUCCUCCUGGGUUCCCUGCCAACAGCACAGAUGGGCAUGUUGUGGGCCACUAGGAGGCUAUCUGGGAAUCAGAUAUGGUUGCCUGGGCCACAAUUUACUGCCCAGAAAAGUUGAAACAGCUGGCCAUCCUGAAAUAGAUGCACAGUGGACAGAAAGAACUCUGGUAUCUAGAGUCAUUUGGACAAAAUUAAAGGAAAAUUGUUUCUGCCAUGACUUGUAAGUUUGAGUGUGCUUAUCAGCUGUGUGAAGUCGCCUUUGAACAGGUACCCACAUCUCAGGUAGUCCCGUGAGAAUGCUCAGUGUUUCUGUAAGAAGUCUCUUGAGCUGAAUGGAACUUCUGUGUUAUGCAUCUGUCUGGGCCUGCCCAGUUGAAUCCCUCAGCUGUUUAAGGACAGGAAGGGAUGGGCCACUACCCUCGGUAGGUGUGGCCAAGAAUUAGCACAGAGCACUGGCCCUUGGCCAGGCCUGAGGAAGAACCCUGCACUGUGAACUCCCUGCGUGCUUGCGUGAUAGGUGCUCUUGAUUGGCAAGCUGAUGGGAUUUAGAAUCAUCACAGACCCAAACCUUUGGGCGAGAGUUUCUAGCUAAGGUUAGUAGAGGCUACAAGACCCGCUCUUUACAUGGUGGUGCUGUUCCACCGGCUAGGAGUUGAAUAAAAAGGAAAAUGGGAGCUGGGCUCCAGCAGUUGUCCUUCUCGACUUCCGGGUUACUUACAACAGGACAGUGACAGCCGCCUCUGGCGUUGGCCGCCUCUGGCAUGGCCGCCUCUGGCAUGGCUGCCUCUGGCAUUGGCUGCCAUCUUUGCCUUUUCUACCUUGACCGAACUGUAAUUCCCUCCAUCCUUCUGCUCAGACGAGCCCUCCCACGAGUUCCUUUUGUCAGGAAUGUUUGUCACAAUAGGAAAAAUAAUUAAUUAUGUGUGUGACGAGAGAGAGAGAGAGAGAGAGAGAGAGAGAGAGAGAGAGAGAGAGAGAGAGUCUGGGAGCAUAUUGUUAUCUCCAUCUAUCCCAAAGACUUACUCAGUUGUGACUCAUGAUGAAAACUGACUUCACAUUCAUGAACACAAUGUCUAAUUCACUUCUCCCUCAUACUCAUUAACUAUGGAUACUAGCUCACCUUGGAAAACCCAGAAUAUAUUAUAUUACCAGGCCAUAGUUACUACCUUUUAUUAUUAGGAGGCUUGAAGAGGUGGGGAAAAAAAAUCUCUGUACAUUGUUACAAAUGAAGAAAUGUUGUUUAGAAGAGUGUAGGCUAAGGUGUCCUUUCAUAGACUCUGGCUUUGUAGUCCACGGCAAAGAUAGUUGGUGGCCAUGGUCUGUUUGCUGUAUGAUGGACUAAGACCUGUGCAUGUGAGUCUGCUUUCUGUCUUGGCCCCAGAGAGUGUGAUUGAGAGAGUGUCUGUGAACGAAAUAUGCAAAGAUGACUGGGUAAAUCUGACUUGGCUUUUAAAAUGUAUUCCUUUUUCUUUACUCUGCAUUAUUCCUGAAGUGCUAGAGGGUAUCCACAAACACAGCACUGAUUCAUUCAUUCACUCAUUCAUAUAAGACAGGCUUUCUCUGUGUAGCCCUGGCUGUCCUGGAACCCACUUUGUAGAUCAGGCAGGCCUUGAACCCAAAGAUUUACCUGCCCCUGCCUCCCAAGUUCUGGGAUCAAAGGCGCGCACCACAACAUCUGGCUACAAAACCGAUUUAUAACUUAGGGACAGUUGAUCAAGGGGAAGAUAGGUUCCUUUGGGUGGAGACCGGUAUGUAUUUAGUAAGUCUGGAGUGUUCUCUUUGAAGUUGAUCUAGUUCGUUUAUUGAUGAUCAGAUUCUAGAAGCUCCCUGGCCAAAACAAUUAAACUCAAGAGGAGGGGUCAGCUUGAUGCCGGAGGGAAGGUUAAGGAAAAGCUAGUUCAGGAUAUCUUGGAGUGGUGGGGCUUCCCCUCUUGGAAGAGAGCCCAUCGGGCUCUGGAUGGACCGAGAGGAGCAAGGGAAGGUAAAAGCCGCCCCACCCCAUCUCUGCUGAGGACUCCACUGGUGGGAACUUCAGUGACUAUAGAGGCCAAGACACAAGACUCUGUGAAGAGUAAACAAGAAAUACACAUCCCAUCCAAAGAGGAAUGGCCGUGGUUAUUACACUCACCGUAUUACCAGGUUAUCUUGUGGAUACAUAUGCCGUCUGGAGCCUGUGCUGGUGCUGCUCUCUUUUAAAUAUCCUGAUGUCACUGACAGGCCAAGCAUGCUCAUCUGUGGUUCAUCUGCUCGGAGCCACUACGAGCUCAGUGUGUGUCCCCGAACCACAAAACUUCCUCCCUCUACUUGCUAACCACAGGGUCUAAACGGCAGCUACAUACCCAGGAAUGACGUAGUGUUCAUGGCUGCACCCACGUCUUCUCCUUGGGCCUCGAUAGGGAAGGCGGUUGCCAGGUAUUUUGUACCUGUGGAAUCUGGUAGCUAAUUGGAGCUGUUGGAACCUGUGUGAAGAUGGCUCGAGACGGCCGCACCUUCAGCUCCCCUUGUUACCCUUCGCUCUCUGUUUCAGUGAGAUGCUCCAGCACCCAGUGAUGCACACCACCCCCUUUAUCGCGGUGCAGGAACUCGAGGGCUCCCACAAGAGUUAUCAUUAAGGCUAGAGAGCAAGCACUUGUGAGCGUUUUGGUGGCCACAGGUUCGACUCUCUGCUUCUGGUUAGACUAUGGGGAAGAGUGCUUCUCAUCUGCUGGUGAGCGAGGACUCGGGCCCCGCUUCUCGGGAAGAACAUGUGGAAGCUUUUCCUUAUCAUCUCUGUUCCAGGCCACACAUACCCAGGCUUAAAUGCAAUUUUAAGACAGCCUACCUGGCUGGCUUCUCACUUAGAGUCCUCCUGCCUCAGCCUCCCAACUGCUGGUAUCACAGACGUGUGCCACAUCUGGCUAUAAUAUGCAGAAAUAUUUUGAAACCUUUAGACAACCAUAAGAUACUCUGAACCUCACAGUGGGGAUAUGAAGGUGCAUACAGCCAUGCUUUUCCAGAUUCGAAUUCAAAAUUUAUGUUUAUAUUUAUAUAAAAUGUAUGUUGAAAAUGAUAAAAAUUUAAUCACAUAAUGGUAGAAAUGCAAGUUUCUUCAUACUUGUUAAAUAUAUAUACACACAGCUAUCUGUCUAUCUAUAUAUAGCAAUUACUCAAAUACAUAUCUCUAUGUAUGUCUUAAAGGGGGCGACUGUAAGUGCAUAUAUGUCUGUGUACCGUAUACAUGACCGUGUGCAUGCCUGGGCCUGAGGACGCAAGCAGAGGCAUUUAAAUUCCUUGGAACUAGAGUUGCAGAUGGCUGUGGUCCAUACUGUGUGGAUGCUGAGAUUCAAACCUGGAUCCUGUGCAAGAACGACCAGUUCUCCAACUGCUGAGCCAUCUCUCUAGCCCCAUUUGUGUGUGUGUGUGUGUGUGUGUGUGUGUGUGUGUGUGUGUGUGUGGUGUGUGUGAAAGAUACAGCAAUUUGUAUUUUUACCAUUAAUUCUGCAAUUAAAUUUUUCUCAAUAGUAUGGUUUGGUUUUUGGUUUUUGAGACAGAAUUUCUCUGUGCAGCCCUGGCUAUCCUAGAACUCACGCUGUAGAACAGGCUGGCCUGAACUCAGAGAUCUACCUGUCUCUACCUCCCAAGUGUUGGGAUUAAAGGUGUGGGUCUCAAGACCUGGCUCGCUCGCUCUUUCUUCCUUUCUUUCUUCCUUCCUUCCUUCCUUCCUUCCUUCCUUCCUUCCUUCCUAUCUUUCUUUCUUCCUUCCUUUCCUUCUUUCUUUCUUUCUUUCUUCCUUCCUUCCUUCCUUCCUUCCUUCCUUUCCUUCCUUUCCUUCCUUCCUUCCUUCCUUUCUUCCUUUCCUUCCUUUCCUUCCUUCCUUCCUUCCUUUCCUUCCCUUCCUUCCUUCCUUCCUUCCUUCCUUCCUUCCUUCCUUCCUUCCUUCCUUUCUUUCUUUCUUAGAUUUGUUAUGUAUACAGUGUUCUGCCUGCACACCAGAAGGGGGCACCAGAUCUCAUUACAGAUGGUUGUGAGCCACCAUGUGGUUGGUAGGAAUUAAACUCAGGACCUCUGGAGAAGCAGCCAAAGCUCUUACUUAACCUCUGAACAUCUCUCCGGCCCCCUACUUUAUUUUCAGUUGAUUAUUUUUUGUAGUGCUAAGAAUCUGUCCAGGCUUUGUGCAGGCAGGACAAGAGCUGUGAACCUUGUCCCCAGACUCUGAUAUUUUUAUUUCCCACUUUGCUUGGACUUGACAUUUAUAGAGCAAGUAAGAGGUUAAAGGGUAAAUGCCAACGGUAUUAAAAAUAAACAUCUCGGCCAUGCAAACUCAUUCUAUAAUAAUAGCAAACGAAUCAUGUUCUGAAUUUUGUAGUUCAGAAUUUAUUUUGGCGCAGCUAAACAGCUUUUUGGUCAUCCUAAUAGAAUUUUUUUUUACAUACUUUCUUGACAGUUAAAUCAAGACAAGCAGAAUUCACGGUCCUUUCCCAAAAUAGUGGCACUGACUUUGACAAGCCAGGGACCUUUUGCUGUAUAUGACAUGGACUUGGUCUUCACUUCUGAGUUCCUAUCUUGAGAACAAAUAUUGUCAUCAUUCAAGGCCUUUUGGGUUUUAAUCCCCCCUUCCAGUUACUUAUUUAUUUUUGUGUGUGCACGCACAUGUGUCUGUAGAGACUGAAAGGCAACUUGCAGAAAUCACUUCUCACCUACCUAUGUGGGUCCUGGAAAUCAAUCUCAGACUGUCUGGUUUGGCAGCAAGCGUCCUUACCCCGUUGAGCAUCUUGCCAGCCCUCCAAGUACUUUUGAAGAGUUGUUUAUGAGCCACAGAAGAAAAUCCAUUUUUAAUAAAAACUUCCUUUCUGACCUAAAAUGUUCGUAGCCGUGUGACUGCCAUCUUAUUCACUAGGAGCUGUACCUGGUCCCUCUUCACUGUCUAUUCUGCCUCUGAGGACAGAGCAUCCGCCCUGCUGUCAAGGACACGGGUGCGCUGAAGACAAACCAUGGCUUGGGUGUUUGGAAUCCUGAUGUGUACUAAACAUUUACUCGUAGUGCUUCACAAUCACACAUUGCAUUGUAGGGUGCCUUCCUGAACACCCGAAGCGAGUCUAAGAUUUCUAUCUUAAACUUCUGUAGAGAGAGGGGGCCUGGGAGAUGACUCAGUGGAUAUAUAUGGCGCUAGCUAUGUAGACAUCAAGACCUGUGCUCAGAUUCCCGGCACCCAUCUAAAAACCGGAUAUGGCAGCACUGGGACGGGGGCAGGUCUUAGGGUCUCACUGGCUGGCCAGUCUAGCUGAAUCAUGCAGCCUCCGAGUUGAGUGAAAGGCCAUGUCUCAAAAACUAAGGGAGAGCAGUGACUGAGGAAGAUAUCCCUACAGACAUUGCUGGCCUCUACCUGUGCCCACUUGCUACACAUCAUACACACACACACACACACACACACACACACACACACACACACACACACACACACACGGAUAAAAACAAAAGACCGAAGCCUUCACAGAGAGUAGUGUAGGGCUAACGAUGCAGCUCAGUCAGCAGGAUGCUUGCCUGGCAAGCAUAGAGCUCUGCCUUUGACCCCCAGCACGCCCUUGCCCAAUGAGGUGGUGCACACCGGUAGCCCCAGAACUCAGGUGUUGGAUGGAGGUGGAGAUUAGAGUUUUGCAGGAACAUCACCAGUCCAAGCUCCUCUUCAGCUGUGAAGGGAGUUUGAGGCCAAUCCAGACCACUCCAAACCCCAUUUCCGAGAACGAGAGCAGGGUUGGGGGAGGAGAGAAGGCCAUCCCGUUUAAUGACUCCUGAAGGCUCAUGGCUAGGUUUCAGCUGAGCUAGUGGCAGCCUACGGAUUUUCUGAUCUCGGUCAAAGGAGGGGAUGGAUUAGAAUCUUAUUUUCUCAACAGUCUAGACGUGACCAAGAUAGUUUUGUUUCUGAGCUCCGAAGGCCGUUUGAAGAUGAAAGCUUGUUAUUUUUGAUUCAUUGCCGCUUAAACUGGAAAAGAUUCUAAGACACAAAAGUCUGAAGCGUUCGCCCAUAAUACCACUGCCCUGCAGUGCACUAAUUAUUUUAUGUCUUUGGGUUUCCUUCCAGGCUCUUCCAAAACACACAGUUUUUAUAUCUCAUCAUAAUUAAGAGGCAAAUAUCUCACACACACACCCGCCCCCGUGCUCUGUACUUUACUUUUUCAUUUCUUGUAUAAAUCCUUCACCUUGGUAGACGUAGUCACGGUCUUUGCUGAAACACUUCUAUGUAGUCCCAUGAUAGCCAAAGCUACGUCAUAACCGUAGAAAACCCUCCCUCACAAGUGUGUACAAGAAAAAGUGACCGUGCUACUCACUGCAAUUGCUGUAAUAAUGGGCUGCUCAUCUUCUGGGGUGCCAGACAGAGGGGGUGGAGAGGGGUGGCUUUUUUUGGUGUACAGUUGAACAGCCACAUAAACUCCCUUAUCCCUAGAUUCUAACCUCCAAAUGUGUGUUGAUGAUGGAAAAGCCCCCCCAGUCCUGCCACCAUCUAAAAGAAGGUACAAGACCUUCUGGGUUGUUUUUUGUUUGUUUGUUUGUUUGUUUGUUUGUUGUUUUUCUGCAAGUUUCAGCUGAGAGAUGGCUUCCACAUAGUAUUAGGGGGGCUGAGAUGCAGAGGUGGGAAGAGAAGGGAGAGAAAUUGGGUCCCUCAGUUGGAACUUUCACUGCUCCUACAGGCCCCCUCAUGCCUAUUAUGGUCUGUGUCCUAUGUUUUGACUUCCCUGUUGAGUUGCAGCCUUGGAAGUGUAAAAUAAAGUUCCUGAGGCCUGAAGGUUGGGGAGGAGGUUGGGGAGUGUCUAGAGGGGGAAAAAUUCAGGCAACGCCCUCCAGAAAUGAGCGACAGUAUUAAUAUUGCCAUAACAGACAUGGUUGGUAGUCACCGUGUGGCCUGCACCUUCUCUGACUCACCAAAUACGUAUUAAGUGUCUGUCCUACGUUCUGUGCUCUGGGAAGACCCUCAGGCCUAAUAUAACUGUGAUAUUUUAUUUGCUUUAUACUUAAAAAAAGAAUGCAAACAUGAUUAAAUAGCACUGAUUUUAAGCAGCGUGAACAUAGGUAUUUCUUUGUUAUCUUGUGUGUUUUAACAUCUUUUUCCAAUUAAGGAAAAAUGCAUAUAAACACAUACAUACAAUUCUCUGUAUAAUUUUAGGAGUUGCAGAAAGCUGUGAAGCCCACACAAAAUCAUUCGUAGAGUUGAAGCAAAUGCUAUUUCGGAGAUGGAUAUUAAGGUGAAUGGUCUGUUUUGGACUCCCACUAGGUUGUUCUAAUUACUUGACAUACGGUGACAGUAAGAGUAAGUCCCUACUGAGUGUGAUAUAAAGAGUGACCCAAGGCCCAUGCAUCGUGCUCCUACCUCUGAGUGUGGUGUAAAGAGUGACCCAGGGCACGUGUACCCCGUUGCUCAGUCCUCUACUUACCAUCUCUUGGUCAUCUUGCCUUGCUCUAGAGUGUGUGAUGUUCUUGACGUAACAACUGUUCCAGACACUGUGGUUUAAAUAUUAUUUCUCAGGAUUUUAUGUGUUAGCUGGCCAGUUCCUACUUCUGAUUUCUGUGGUCAGCUGGUGGCUUGGCCGGAAAUGCAAGAUCCAGGAUGGUCUUACAUACCUCUGUCAGACUGGUCUGGACUUGUUUACGUAGUAGUGGUCACACCACAGCGUCCUCACGAACAGAAAGAAACAUAAGUGGCGAGACACAAACAUUUUAUACGUUUUCUUUGCAUCAUAUUUAUUGUCGUCCUCAUGGGCCAAAGCAAGCCACAUGUCUACGCCCAGAAUCAAUGGGAGAGUGGACUUCCUUAGGGCUGAGACAUAGUCCCUCCCACCACAAAAUGUCCUUCGUGGACAGAAUGAAGUGGGGCAGGAGUAAACCAGAAGCUGUGUUUUUUGAGCUUGUGUGUGUGUGUGUGUGUGUGUGUGUGUGUGACAGAUACAGCGUUGUUCCUGACUCUUCCUCUGCGGCCCUUUUCAAGGCAGGACAAACUGUAGAGCCCUCUUGGUCUCAUUCCAAAAUUGCUACUUUGUCUUUGUUGAAAAGAAAAGGUCAGAGUGAUAGUUAACAAGAAAGAAGAAAAGUUAUUUUCUAUCUACUAAAGGGUAUUAUUCUGUGGAAACAGUCAGAGCUUACCUUGAGCCCAAACUUAGAGUGCCCUGAGUCAAGCCAGAGCGGCCAACGUCCUUCUGGACGAAAGAAUGGAACUCAUUGCCUUCCAAGGUGAGGACAGACCUUGCUGCCUAGUGCUGCCUUCUAGCCAGCACUGAGCUGUCCAUGUGGAGAAAAGUAUUCCUCACACAGACAAAAAUACAUUUUUUCCCUUGGUUGAAAAGCAUUUCUCUGGACUGUAAGAUGAUUCUCAAAAUAGCCAGUGCCACUUCCACAUCAUGUGAACCACAAAGUGUGCCUUCUGCAGGUUCCUCUGCAGCACUCGAAAGAUAAAGGAUUAUUUUAUUUCUGUUCACAGGACUUAAAAAAAAAAAAAACCAAACCAUUACUCUACAAAUCUCUCCAUAGCCCCCCUCCCUCUCUACUCUGUCCCCGCCCCUCUUUCUCUCAUCUUUUUUAAAAAUUUUGAGACAGUCUUACUUUGUAGCCCAGGCUGGCCUCCAACAAGCAAUUCCUUCCUCUAUUCCCUGAGUGCCAGAAUUACUAGUAUUGUAGGCAUGUGCCUCACCAUACCCAAUUCUUUUAUUUAGAAAUACACCAGUGAGGGAAAAACUAGCUCAGGAUAACUCCCGAUCCAUCUUCCUCUGUCCCAUCUUCCCCUGGCUUAUUUGAGGUCAAAUGCUAUCAUAGGAUUUCAUCCACAAGUAUUAAAUUCUGUUGGGUUUUAAACAAAGCAAGACUUGUCACUUGGUGCUCCUUGGGCGGGAAGAAGGGGUGUGUCCCAGACAACCAAAGCUGGUGGCUUCACUUUAACUUGUAACAAGAGAGUCCUUGUUUUAUAGAAUCGUGGAGAUGUCUCUGGUCGCAAAGGAAACUUCCCAAAGUAUGACCAGUGUCAUUCGCAGGGGUGUGUACGUGUGUGUGUACGUGUGUGUGUGGUGUCUGGCAAUAAUACUUUGUCAUUUACUAUCCGGAUGUUCAAAAUGGGGUAUCUCCCUGACCUUCCAGUCUUAGCUGUACUCAGGAACUAUAUUUAAGCCUUAGGGAGUUAAGGCACUUGUCACCAAGCCUGACAUGAUCCCUGGGAUCUACAGAGAGAGAGAGAGAGAGAGAGAGAGAGAGAGAGAGAGAGAGAGAGAGAGAGAACCAGCUUUUGCAAGUGUCCUCUGACCUCCACACACCAACCAUGGCACGAACGGCACGCACGGCACCCACACACCGCAUGCAGUAAAUAAAGUAGUCAUUUUAAGACAGAGUUUCUCUGGGUAGCCUUGGCUGGCCUGGAAGAAUAGGCUGGCCUUGAGCUCAGAGAUCUGCCUGCCUUUCCCUCCUGAGUGCUGGGAUUAAAGGUGUGUUACCACCACUGCAAAAGUAAUAAUUAAAAAGGGGGAGGAGGAACAGGAGGAGGAGGACUAGGAGGACAGCUUCCUCUAAGAUCCCGAGAAACAUAAACCAGGGCCAUCAGUGAGUGGUGGCAGCAGAAGGUUCUGUUCCCUCACUCACUUGAAACACUGAGAGUCAUGGCCUUCAUCCCAUAUUCAGAUUUAAUAUUCUCCUGUGAUCACUAAUAGAAAUGUAUCAAAUACAAAUUAGGGGCAUAAAGUUUAGACUUUAAUAUUAGAAUUCCUAUUAUUACCCUGGCGGAGGAUUCGUGGAAACAUAAAAUUAAUGUUUUCUAAUUGAAGACACCUAAGAAGGAGAUCGGUGGCCUCUAGUUUCUGGUCUCAGUCGGGUUUCUGCACUUUUGGGUUUCUUUACCGAGAAGUGGAGGCAAGGGUAGGGAAAGGUUGGGCUAGCCAGUUCCUUCUCUCUCCCAUCCCCUCGUUGUCACAUGAGCCACACCCUCCCAGGAGUGCCCUUUCCCUGCCCCAUACAAAGCCUCUUGCCCUUUUUCUUAGGUUACUUUCUAGUAUUCUAACAGAACCCCGACCAAGAGAAACUUGGACAGAAAGAGUUUAUCUGACGGCUAGGUAAGUCCCAGCAGAAAUUCAAGCAACAACUGAAGCAGAGGCCACAGAGGGACAGUGGCUAUUAUCUUGCUCCCCAUGGCUUACUCAACCCGCUUUCUUAUCUAGCUUAGGGCCACCUGCCUAUAUAAGGGGGUGGCAUCACCCAUUGUGGUCUGGGUCCCCCUACAUUAAUUAUUGAUCAAGAAAAUAACCCCACAGUCUUGCCCACAGACCAAUCUGAUGGAGGCAUUUUCUCAACUGAAGUUCCUCCUUCCCAAAUGGCCCUGGCUUGGGUCAAGUUGACAAUGAAAAUAAAUAAAUAAAUAACCUACCCAGUACAGCCAUCCUCCAAGGGUAAGGAAGGGCCUGGGAAGCCUGGAGAUUAUACACCUGCUCAGAGUGAGAAAACAAAACAAAGGCCUUGCAAGAGGAGCUCCCUCUCCUCCCACCUCGGCAACUUUUAUCCUCCCCUGCCCAGCCCUGCAUCUCACUUCUCUGAGUGAGCAAAGGAUCAAGCAUUGUCUGUUCUUCUGAGACAAUGAGGCACUGUCCUCCCCAUUUGGAGCUGUAAAGACAGUCGUCAGUGCUCAGUCGCAGUCGUUUUUAAGGGUCAGUUGGUAGAGGUGGCCCUGGAGACUGCAGGGCAUGAUGGAGUAAAUGACAGGACCCAUCGUAGUGGCUCUGCGUCCUCAGGACUCCUGCCUGGCCUCAUCGAACUACGUGAGGUUCCACUUCGGGCUUGGAUGUUGUCUACGACCACCUUGUCUCUAGCUAGGAUCCACUCUCGCACCCUGUCCCCAGCUUGCAGUCUAGUUCUCCUUUGAAGCCAGCCCCAAUUCCACUCUUUUGAAUCUCACAGUUGCAAGUUAUUGCCUUCAAAAUUCUGUCUCCCUCCAUCUGCGAAGAUCAUAGAGUUCUGCACAUUUUAGUUCUUCUUCUGAUCAAUUGCUGUUCAGGGCGACUUCUCUCUCUGCAUCAAGCGUCUCCUCCCCAGUCCAUUCUGCCUGUGUGACAUUUUGUGACAUGUGAUACUGGUAUAUGAUCCUAUUUUAAAAUUUAAGCAAGAGGCUAGAGAGAUGGCUUAACGGUUAAGAGCAAUGACUGCUUUUCCAGAGGACCCUGGUUCAAUUCCCAGCACGUACUUGUCAGUUCAGAGCUGCCUGUAACUCCAGUUCCAGGGGUCUGACAUCCUCAGAUAGACAUACACUCAGACAAAACACCAAUGCACAUAAAAUAAGUAAAAAUGUAAUGGGUAGGCUAGGAAAUCAGCCCAGUCAGUAGACUGCUUGACAUGCUGAAAACCAUGAGGACCGGAGUUCAUUUUCCAGAACUCAGAGGAGGCAGGAAAAACCUCGACUGGUGGCAUGCUUUAGAAAUCCCACUAUUGGGAGGCUGAGGGGGUGGAUCCCUGGGGCCUGCUGGCCAAACAUGCCUAGCCUACCUGAUGAGCUUCAAACCGAGGACGCUUGUCUCAAAAACCAAGAGGACCCCCCGCCAUACACAUACCACAAAUUAAAACAAGAAACUCAAUGGAGGAAAUACUUGCAUUUCUCUAUGCUGUGUAGAGGUAGACAUUCUUUAAAACCACACCCUACAUCUUAAUCUUGAAAGGCAGAAGGAGAGUGUGGAACUGUCAACACAGCCAAGUGCUCUCAAAAGCCGCUGCGGGGAAAGCACAGCCAGGAUUCCUUAGCUGAGGGAACAGAGAGGAGUGAACCUGUGGAAGGGUCCUCUUGAUGGGAAUGCUGCAGUAGUCUGAGCUAAUAUAAUACUGUGAGUGUUGUGAUUUAUAAAGGGAUAGGAAGAAGGGUUAUGUUUAGUGGAGUCACGCUAUGGUGUGGGGGAAGAGGGUGCUUCUGUGGGGCCCAUGUGGAAGCAUCCCUUCCCCUUGAGGUACCAGCCACACGAUGGUAUAGUAUAGAAUAGAGUUUAUUUAGGGCAUGGGCAGGGGAGAUGAGGGGGUAGUAGAGACAGAGAAAGGCAGAGAGAGUAAGAGAGAAGAGAAGUAGAGGCCAGCCAUGAGCACAUGGAGAGAGAAGGGGGAGGGGAAUGGGGAGAGAGGGUAAGGAGCAGAAGCAAGAGGAGAGAGCAAGAGAACAAGAGAGAGAGGAGGGGGGCAAGCAGCCCCUUUUAUAGUGAGUCAGACAUACCUGGCUGUUGCCAGGUAACUGUGGGGCAGACCCUAGAUUAAAUGCCAACAGUGAGAACUUGUUUAAAAAUGAAACAAAAACAAAAAACAAGACAAAAAAAAAAAAAAAAAAAAAGCCAAGUUGAGCAAUUGCUUGCCGUGAAAUCAAGAAGAUUUAAGUUCAAAUCCCCAGGAUCACCCGUGAAAGCCGGGCAUGACCAUGUGCCUGUUACCACAGUGCCAGAGGAUAAAGACAAGCAGAUCACUGGCCAGCCAGCUUAAAACAGUGAGCUUCAGGUCUGAUGAGAGAUCUUGUCUCACAAAAGUAAGGGAGGGAGCGAAAGAGGAAGACACCUGACAUCUGGCCUCCACAUGGGCACAGACACCUAUACACACACCUGCAGACACACAAGGGCUGGGGAUGUCAUUGAGUAGAGCAGUUGUCUGACAUAUACAGGGCCCUGACUUUUGUCGCCCCACCCCCCAACACACACUGAGGAAAAAAUAUACCAAGGGUGGGGUGUUGUGGUUCGUGCUUUUAAUCCCAGCACUCCGGAGGCAGAGGCAGCCUGAGGCCCACCUAGUGUACAGGAGGCCAAGACUACGAGACCCUGUCUCAAAACAACAAAAACAAACAAAACCCAACCAACCAGGCAGACAGACAAAAAAGAAAACACCAAAAUGUUAGCAGACCUAACGGGUGGAAGAAGGAGCUGAGGGGCUUGACUGGGGCUUUUGUGGAAGCAGCUAACAGUGUGGUGGUUUGCUCCGUGUGGAUUUGGAGGGUGGCUUGGAUGCAUAAAAUUCUAGAUAAUCCAGAGACUGGCCAAGUCCAUCAAGUAUCAAAACGGGCAAAUCUGCACCUUUGGGGCUCCUUAUGCUCUGUUUUCCACACAUAAAAAGUGUAAAACAAUUGGCUCCCAGUGUUUGGAGUGAAUUGGGAAGUGGUCCGUGCCCCUGUGGAAACCGGAAAGAUGCCCAAUCCCCAGUCACACAGUGUGUGAGGAAUUCCGAAAGGCGUGUGGACGGGGUGGAGACAGGCAAGGGCAGUUGGGAGCCUCUUGCCAGUGGGAGGUUUUCAAAGGACAUUAGGUCAUUCAUACUUGUUUACUGUUCUGUCCUACUUAAGCAGUAAACUCCCAGAGAGGACACUGUCAUGCUUACUGCUGGAUUUGGCUUGUUUUGGGUCUUUAUUUUAUUUUAUUUAUUUAUUUUUUGGUGGUUUUGGUUUUCUUCAUCUCACAGAGCAGGCUUUGGCCUUGGCAGAAUGGGGUGACUUGGCUGAACACUGUUUCCCUGAAGUGCAGAAGACCCUCAAGCCCAUCCAAUUCAACUCGCUUGCAUAAACUGCACCCUUCAGGGAAUGAAUGAUUGAUGGCCGUCUGACAAGUGAUUGUAAACUGGAAAUGUUUUCAAAAAUUAAAAAUAGCCCCCCUCAUAUAAAACCGCACUUGGGUUUCCUCCUCAGUCUGCUUUUAAUAGAACUGGAUAUUAGCGAAUGCGGCUGCUGAAGGAAGCUAGGAGGUCCAAAAAGGUUUCCACGUCUAAUUCUUGCCUCUUCUCUUCCAGUCCUUCCAUAGGGAGACUUUAAGCCUUGCCUGAGGUCACACUGCCAGUCCUGUCUUGUCAUCUCAGGGGUGGGGUACUGCUGCUCUUUGCUGAGAGAAACUAAAAGAAAAAUAUGUCGGUUUGCACUCAACCCUCAUCCCUGCAGACCAGCCUGUGCUCACUCUGACCCUCAACCCUCAUCCCUGCCUGUGCUCAUCCUGACCCUCAUCCCUGAUCUCUGCAGACAGCCUGCGCUCACUCUGACCCUGAAUCCUUUACUGGAAGAGUGUUGGAGGCCAGGUUAAUGGGAUGGGAAGGCAGUGGAGACCUUCAGAACGUGAUAUUUACAGUUGUGCUCUGGGCCUGUUCUGGUUUAAGUCUGGGGGAGGAGGAGUUUACUGCCUUUGUUUUCCCUUGGCUAACAGGUGCCUAGUUCCCUGGCGGCCACCCCAAAGGCCAGGAGUCUCCUUGGAGGCCAGCUGAUAGCUUGAUUGUUUUGUUUAUUGUGCUGGGUGCAAAUUCCAGUUGGUUCGUCUGCAUCACAGAAGCCUUCUCUUCUUUCUUGGUGUUUCCUUUAGUCUCAACUGCCUUUGGAUGUUUUAUUUUAAGGAUUUUGCCUUUCAUAUUAGGCUGGACUUUCUCUCAAUAGAGACAUUGCAGGGCCAAUGGUGACAUAAACCUUUAAUCCUACCACUUGGGGAACAGAAGCAGGCACAUUUCUGAGUUUGAGGCCAGCCUGGUCCACAGAGUUCCAGAACUGUUAAAACUACCCAGAGAAAGUCUUGUCUCAAGAAACCAAAACCUAACCAACACCUCCAGAGAGAGAGAAAGAGAGAUAGAGAUAGAGAUAGAGAUAGAGAUAGAGAGAGAGAGAGAGAGAGAGAGAGAGAGAGAGAGAGAGAGAGUGCUGCAUGGAGCAGAAAAUGAUCCAGUUAAAAACAAAACAACAGUAUACACUCUAUCCACAUUAUCUUGGAACCUGACACUUGGAUUCACAUACUUUAAGUUUUGGGGGUUUAAACAUUAACAUGUACAAAAGAAUGGUAAUAUUUAGCCAGCAAAAGCUACAGACUCCCAGUAAAUGUGAUUAAAUGGUAUAUAUAUAUAUACAUAUACAUAUAUAUAUAUAUAUACGUAUGUAUACACACACACACAAGUGUGUGUGUGUAUAUAUAUAUCACAGGCAGGCAAGAGUUCCUACUGGCCUGCAAUAAUAAAUUUUUAUUAUCCACAUUUAAGAUGAUUCCCUGCGGUAAGUGCAUUUUUAUAACUUCUGUACAAAUAAAGCAUUUUAGAUUAAAGGACUUUAUAAUAUACUGAGGAGUAGUUCUUCCUCGGGCUGUAGUUUGUCGUUUGGAAAGGGGAGGCUAACAGGGUGAAAUUCAUGGAUGGUGCUUCAGUCUAGGUGUGCUGGCCUCCUUGGGGAAGAAAGGCUUCCUCUUCCUGAAUCUGGACUUUGAGAAUUCUCCAGCUAGGAAAUCAUAGGGUAGGUCGUAAUGUUAUAAAUCACUGGAACAAACACAGGAAAAGGCUAUUUUGGGAAGUGUUUGCAACCGUGCAGGCUUACAGGGCUAGAGCUCUUUGUAGGGUUUUCUGUUCUCAGUCAUUUGUACUGGGGACUUCAGAACCAUCCAGGCACUGUGUGUGCCCAGAAGAGACUGUGCUGGGAAGAUGGCUUGGUCUAAGCACUGGGAACUUAUGUUCAGAUCCCUACAGCCCAAAUUCUAGCUGCAGUAGCAUCCAUCUUGUAUCCGCAGGGAUCCUAGAGGGAGCUGGGUGGUGUGGGAGGUAAAGAGAAGAGAACCUCUGGGAGGUAAAGACAGGGGACCAUCUAGAAGUAUGUGUGCCAGCUAGCCAGAGACCCUGUCUCAGACAAGAUGUAAGGGAAUGAUUGUCACUUGGCAAGGUUGUCCUCUGAUCACUGUAGUUACGCUGUGGCACAUGAAUUCCACAGACACACAUGAACACAGCACUCAUGCGUGUGCACACACACACACACACAUGCACACGAACAUGCACACAAGCGCACAUACAUGAUAUACAAGAAAGAAGAGAUGGUUCUUGGCACUUGGUUACUGAGAGUAGGCCUAUGCUGUCUAACAUUAGAGCAUUCUUUGUAGUUGAUGUGAUUGUCAAAUUCCCUCCCUUUACUGAACAGAAGGCAUAGGAGUCAGGCACCCUGCCCAUCGUCACCAUCAAUGAAGUGGCACAGGACGGGUACAAAUUCUGGGUUAGCUUCAGAGAGCUGCUGUCUCUUCCCAGAAGCAUGCAUGCACAAGCUUUGGGCUGAGGGGCUAGCCUGGGGAACAUUAUACUCAAAACUUCCAUCUCCAACCCAGGCCUCUUGAGUCAGCACCUGCAUUUUACCGGGAUGCUAAGUGAGUGCCUGGAACACUGUGAGGGAACUCGGGUCUGAUCAUGUCUCCAGAGGAAGUCCAGUCUUUGCCAACUAGCUUGUCAUCUUCCAAGGACAGGAUACAGGGACAUCGCAGACUUUGAGAGGCCCAACUAAACGACAGCCUAAUUAUCCUGCUCAGUUAACUGUCCACCAGUCGUUAGGAGGGGGAGUGUUUUUCUCCUGGACAAUUCUAGAUUGUCUAGCUUGUUCUCCUUAGGUGUACAAUGGGCUGCCCAUAGCAGGAUAGGAGACCUUUCAGCCCAGAAUAUCCCUUCUGUGGCUACAAUUGAUUCCAGCCUUGGUAAUGUGACCAGUGGCUCUGAACUAGCCUGUCAAAACGUCUAGAACCAGGGAGAAAGUCAGCAAGUCAGCACCCAAUCAGAAUUUGAUCCCCAGGGGUUGGGGAUCUAGCUCAGUGGUAGAGCGCUUGCCUAGCAAGCACAAGGCCCUGGGUUCAGUCCCCAGCUCCGAAAAAAAGAAAAAAGAAAAAAAAAAGAAUUUGAUCCCCAGAUCCCGGUAGCAGAGAGAACCUUGUCCUCUGUAUUGGAGUGGAAAGUGUACCAACAAUUUGGGCCUAUUAAAAAAUAUUUUUAACCUUUUAAAGAUUUUUUUUAAUAUAAGUUAUGUGUAUGCAUGUUAGCCUGCAUGUCUGCUUGGGGUCUGAGGAGGGAGAAAAAAGUGUUGAGUCUCAUGGAACUUGGGUUAUAGAUGGUCAUGGGAAGCAGAGGCAGGAGGACCUCAGAGAGUUCGAGGCUGUCUCAUAACAAAGCAAACACACAAGCACAGCCAGCUGUGGUGUCAGCCCUUGCAAUUCCAGCUGGGAAGCGGGAGACAGGUGGCUAGCCUAGACUAACUGAACUAGCCUACUUAGAGAGUUCCAGGCCAGUGAAAGACAAAUAUCUUAAAACAAAACGAAAUAAAGCAAAAGCCGUUCAUGCCUGAGGAGUGGUUCCUCAGGUUGACCUCUGACUUACACACACACACACACACACAUACACACACACACACACACACACACACACACCCUGGUUCACAUCUGCACUGCCCCUUCCCCCCAUUAACGGUACUAGCAGGUAGACACCUUGUGUUAAUAGGGCUAAGCGUUUAGCUAAGCUGAGGGGCAGAGCACAAGCUUCAUAGGUGAGGCCCUGGAUUCUGUCCCUGCACGGGAGUCAUUACUGCCUCAGGCCACACGUACUUUCCAGUAAUUCUGUCAUAUGAAAGCUACAGAGGGCAUCCUGGAUUCUAUGUCCUGCCAAUAGCUUGCACAAGCAGGUUCUCCGAAAUACUGGGAGGAUGAAUGAACUGACUUUCUAAUCUGUUCUUUGUAGCUCCAACAGAACACAGCCCUUAGCUCAUUUUCUACGGACUUUCCCUUUCUUGCCACUGUUCUGAAUCCUCCGUAGUCUGACUACAGGCGCUGUUCCAGACAUGUUUUUUUUUUUUUUUUUUUUUCUUUUUUCAGAGAUCUACCUGCCUCUGCCUCCCGAGUACUGGGACUAAAGGUGUGCACCACUGCCAUCUGCUGUAGUCUUUUUCUUAAUUGCAUGUGUAUAAAUGAUGUUUAUGUGAGGGCAGGUAUGCCACAGCCUACACUUGGAGGUCAGAGGACAACUCUGAGAAAUUGGUUUUCUCCUACCAUAUGGGUGGGAUUCCAUCUAUAUCUAGGAUGAAAUUCAGGUUGCCCAGGUUUGUGUGACAGACACCUUUACUUGCUGAACUGUGUCACUCAGGAUCUCCAGCCGUUAACAAGUUCUCUUCGAAAGAGUUUCAUGUUGGCUGUUCAGCAAAGAUCUUCAAAAUGGGAAGUAAAGCUGAAGCAGCUUAGAAACGCUUCAAGAAAACUGAAGCAUCUCUGAGGUUUCUCUCUUGAGGUGAGAAGGGACUCCCACUCCUUGGUUUAUUGGAGACACCCCCAACUCUUCUCCUCUCUCUGUCUCUCUGUCUCUGUGUGUGUGUGUGUGUGUGUGUGUGUGUGUGUGUGUGUGUGUAUGUGUGUUGUUGUUGUUGUUGUUGUUGCUGUUUUGAGGUGUCUCAGAGUUCAAUCUAGGGCUAGCAGAUAUUCUACUACUGAGCUACACCCUCAGUCCUGCCUGUGUCCCCCCUCCACCCCGCUCUCAUGCUUAGUUGAACAAUAACUUAUAAAAUUUGAACUGUUAAAUUUCAUCUGCAUCUUUUUUAUUCUUCCCUUGGAACUCCCAAUUCUGGACUUCUGGAAGUAAGAUCAUACUGAAUAAAAGUUAAUGAAACCAUGACUCAGUGUGAAGGUGAGUCAGACAGCUGUGUGGGAUCUACUCCACCCUAGGGCAGAGACAGAGGCAGGAGCCUGGUAGCUAGGGAGGAAGGCUCCCCCACCCCUCUACCUUGUCCCCUCCAUUGUUCUUUCUUUCUUUCUUUCUUUCUUUCUUUCUUUCUUUCUUUCUUUCUUUCUUUCUUUCCUUCUUUCUUUCUUUUGUUCUUUCUUUCUUUUGUUCUUUCUUUUGUUCUUUCUUUUGUUCUUUCUUUCUUUCUUUCUUUCUUUCUUUCUUUCUUUCUUUCUUUCUUUCUUUCUUCCUUUCAAGGGAAGCCAGAAGCUAGGUGUGGAGGUACACGCCUUUAAUCCCAGCACUUGAGAGGCAGAGGCAGGCAGAUCUCUCUGAGUUCAAGGUCAACCUGGUCUACAUAGUGAGUUCAAGGACAUCCAGGGCCAUGUGAGACCUUGCCUUGGGGUGCGGAGGGGGGAAGAACAUAAAUAUAAUAAUAACUAAAAAAUACAGGAAGCCUACCAACGCUAAGAAUUACAAAUCCUCUCAUCUCCGAAGCACAUGUAAUUAAUUCCCAGUGUAAUCAUAGCCCAGUGCUGGGGUCCUCCACUCUCUACCCUCCUGUUCUCUUUUCUGACUUUAUUACCUGGCCCCAGAAUGAGAGGCAGGAAUUGCCAAUAAAUAUACUUAACUCCUUCGCAUUUUUAAAGCUAGUGUAUUGAACAUUAAGGGAACUCUGGCCUUUCUCUCUAGUUUUUUAUAGAUUGCCUCUCAAAGAGUUUCAGGUUGUUCUUUGAGGAAAUACUUCAAAAUCGGAGGCCAGUGGAGUCAGUUUAGAAAUGACUCAAGAGGGGUUGGGGAUUUAGCUCAGUGGUAGAGUGCUUGCCUAGCAAGCACAAGGCCCUGGGUUCGGUCCCCAGCUCCGGAAAAAAAAAAAAAAAAAGAAAGAAAGAAAGAGAAAAAGAAAAAAAGAAAUGACUUAAGAAACUGGACCCUCUGUGCUCCACCUGCCUGGGCAUACACUUUCCCGCUGGCUGGUUUGAUACGAGUGAAUGUUGUGAAUAGAAGGAUCUCUUUACCUGUCCUUAAGGAAAGGUGCAUUGCUAGGCUGAGGUAGCACUGUUUGCUGCCUAAGUCCUGCCUGGAGGAAGCACACACAGCCUUGGCUUGAAGCACGCUAAACAGAUGUUUAGAUCCACUUCAGCCACACUGGGACAACAAUCCCUUGUUAAUUAGGAGCUAACAAAUGUAACCAAAGCCAGGGGUGGUGAUGCACACCUGUAAUUCCCCGAACUAGGGAAGAAGGAAGCAGGAGGAUUGCCAGGAGUUUGAAGUGACAAAGUGAGUUCCAGGAUAGCCUAGGGCUACUGUGUAAGAUAAAGGCUUAAGGGGCUGGAGAGAUGGCUCAGUGGUUAAGAGCACUGACUGCUCUUCCAGAGGCCCUGAGUUCAAUUCCCAGCAACCACAUGGUGGCUCACAACCAUCUGUAAUGAGAUAUGAUGCCCUCUUCUGGUGUGUCUGAAGACAGCUACAGUGUACUCAUAUAAAUAAAAGAAAUAAAAAAAAAAAGAUAAUGGCUUAACAAAACCGAAAAUUAACAAUGGGGGAAAAAAGUUCAAACAGAUAACGAUAGAAACAUACGCAUAUCCUUAGAUAUUCAGAUUUGAAGUUGCAGGAGGAAAGUGACAUAAUUUCCAAGGAAUUAUUAGUACUAAUAAAGGUUUAACUCAUUGUCUUCCUCCCUUCUGCCUUUCGUGUCUACUGUGCCUCACAUAAGUUUCUAACCCAGUUCUCUGAAUCCCCAUGCCUUCCCAGACAGGGACCUUCCUAAUCCAUACAUUUGAUUUCCGUCUAUACAUUCAUGGAGCCUACCUUUCAUGAGCUGGUCCUGCCUCAUAUAGCCAACCUUGGGUUACAACCACACAGUUUUAUGUCAUUAGAAAGUUGUGGAGCUCUUACGUCAUACCAGACUAGGAGUGGAAUGCAGACAUAGCUGUGUGACUUUCUGAAGCUUCUUGGAUGUUUCCCCAAAGCAGUCAAGGUUAAGAGCCAGUUGGUGAAUAUUUAAGAAUUAUUGAGUUGGACAUGUGGCUCAGUUGAUAAAGCGCUCGUCUAUCGAAUGUGAAAUCCUCAGUUUGAUGUUCCCAGCCACGAAUAAGCUGAGUGUGGUGGUAUUACACCUGUAAUUCCAGCCUUCUGGAGUAUAGGGCAGGAGUUCAAGGUCACUCUCCAAUUUAAUUUGGGGCUAGCCUGGGCUACAUGAGAAUGUUUAUUACGGACUAUGCUGUGAUUUGGUGGAACACCAGUGCAGACUGAUCAGGGUGUGCAUUAAGACCAGGAAUAGGAGGCUUCUCAGGUUUGCCUUAUGGAAACUGCUUAUUGAAUAUUUGGACUUCUGGAAAAAAAAGCCUCAUUCUGAGGGGAUGGACAGCGAACCCUUGGACAGCGUGGGCACCUUCAGUGAUAGGGACAGGGUUGCCUAGUCCUCUGGCCUCCUCUCCACUUUGGAGCUGUGCCUUACACUGGAAGCCUCUGAAUCUUGGUAUGGCUCAGAAGCCCCAGAGCGAUUUGGAGACCUGUUUGUUACAGAGGCUCCAAGCAAUUCAGGUGGGAAAACUCAUCACCCAGAGCCAUUGCUUUCUAGCCCUGUGGAUCUCAACGGUACUCAGGUACACGCGUACACACACACACACACACACACACACACACACACACACACCAAGUCUGGAGAUUGAACCUGGUGAGCUCUACCUCAGAGCCACACCUGCACCCUUUACUCUUUGCAAUGGUCAGCACUUUGCUUCAGAUUCCUCCUCAGAUUUACAUUCCUCAGCUGCCUUUCUGGUCAGUCAACCUUUUUUUUUUCCCUGCCACGCCCUGGCUGUUAGAAGGAGGCAGUGCUCAGCUACUGACUGCUUCAUAGCCUGAGGCUUCUAAAGUCCACGCUCAGGGAGAAGCAGCUCCCAGCUCCCUGAGGUCUAGGUUACAGUACCUCCAUUUUCAUUGAGAUCCUUCCCUCUUCCUAAAAAGUUGUGUAUCUUAGAGACUUUCUUUCUAAGUAAGUUACUUCACAAUUUGAUCCCCCACCAUCAAUAUAAAAUAAAGUUGAAUUUUUUUUUUCUUUUUUCUUUUUUUCGGAGCUGGGGACCAAACCCAGGGUCUUGUGCUUGCUAGGCAAGCGCUCUACCACUGAGCUAAAUUCCCAACCCCUAAAGUUGAAUUUUUAAGUAAUUACUUAUUCAUUUAUUCAUUAGGUAUGUAGCCCAGGCUAGCCUCAACUCCGGAUCUUUCUGUCUCUUUUGUCCUAAGUGCUGGGAUUAUAUGAGCUAUUUUUAUUAAACCUAUGUAUGUAGCCUUGGCUGACCUGGAAUUCACUAUGUAGACCAGGCGACCCUCAAAGCCUCAAGCUCACAGUGAUCCUCCUGCCUCUGUCUCCUGAGUGCUGUGAUUGUAAGCAUCGGCCACCCUGUAGAAUAGAAUUUUUUUUUUUUUUUUUUGGUUCUUUUUUUCGGAGCUGGGGACCGAACCCAGGGCCUUAGAAUUUUUUUUAAUGAACAAUUUGUUUUAGGUAUUUAACUGUCUUGCUGGUUUUAAACUUCUCGUAGAGAAGGUUUUUGUAAGGUUAGAAUUGAGAGUUUUCGGGGUUGGGGAUUUAGCUCAGUGGUAGAGCGCUUGCCUAGGAAGCGCAAGGCCCUGGGUUCGGUCCCCAGCUCUGAAAAAAAGAACCAAGAAAAAAAAAAAAAAAAAAAGAAUUGAGAGUUUUCAACCUUUACCCCACCAGUCCCACCCACCUGAGUGUCCACACUACAGUCUGUGUACUCAUCCCAGGAAGAUCUCAACAGAGGCUAGAGCCCACCUUGGUUUGAAGAAUUUGAAAGUGACCUCCUUUUCUUUUCCUUAGAGAAAAUUUUAAUUUAUUCCCACUCGAUUGUACUCCAAUGGCUCUUUAACUUUUUCUUUCCAAUUAUUGUAAGAGUUCGUGAGUGUUUGUGUAUGUGAGAGAAACAGACAUAGGCACAGAGACAGCUGUGGGUGUAAUGUGGAGGUCAGAAGACAGUUUGGGGGAGCUGGUUCUCUCCAUCUACUUUUAUGUGGGUUCUGGGAUGGCUUGUGUGGCUGCUGUCAUCUCACAUCCCAGCUAGGCUUAAAAAAAUGGUUCUUUAUAAAAAAAAUAGAAUUUCUCUUCUUUCCUUUCCCUCCCUCCCUUCCUUUCUUCCUGGCUACCUUCUUUCCUUCCUUCUGGAUUAGGGUCUCUUGUAUCCUAAGCUGGCCUCAAAAUUGUUAUGUAGCCAAGGAUUACCUUGGAACUCCUCUGCCUCUCCCCUGCCUCUGCCUCCUAGAUGCUGGGGUUGCAGAUAUACACAACCCUGCCUGGUUUAUGUGGUGCUGGGGGAUCAAAUCCAGGGCUUCAUACAUGUUAGCAGGGACCGUUCCACCUGAGCUAUAUCUGUUACCCCAUUAAAUUCUGUCAUGCAUACUCACAUUUUGUUCUGUGUAUAGUUAAUUCUCAACCUUCUCUAGUUGAGGGUCUUUAGAAAGACGAAUCUGAAGGUUGACUGUGAGAAGGGAAAUACUGACAGAAAGAGGCAAAUGGUUGAUGGGAAAUUAAAAAUAGAGAGAAGGUCUGGGAAGGGAAGCCUGGGGUCCAAGAAUUGCUCUUUUGUGGCUCUUAGAGUGAGGUUGGCCUAGAAGAGGGUGAUUGGCAGGCACCUAGACCACUCUGAUGUGGAGGAGUUACCUGAAGGAAAUCCUACCUUAAGUUACCUAGUUAUCUUGUAUUUUAAACAUAUGGUUAGAGGCCCAGGCAUGGUGAGACAUCUUUAGGUUAUACAGAAAACCCACCCACAAGUGUUAUCGUUCCAAAGUGUGAGCGGGACCACUGAAGACUACCUGGGAAGGGUUUCUGUGUUGGAGGAAGAUGAGAUCGCAGCUGUUUAGUACCUCAUAGGACUAGUUCAGGAUAGAUAAGACAUCCUAGAUAGUUUCCUUAUGGAGUGAGUGCCGACCUCACAGCUUAAAGUGUCUGUCUUUAAAUAUUGAUGAGAUCUUGUGGUUUCACCCAUUAAACUCUUUUCCCGUUGCAUCAUAACUUUACCCAAAGGCUCAGAGACCUCGCUGCUCUUGCUCAUGGCAGGUUACAGACCUUUGGCCCUCCCUACCUGCAGGAGCUCCUAUUUCCCCUUCCAUAACUGCACACAACGGGCCGUUUGGAGACUUCCGUUAAGCACAAUUGCCAACCCUGGUAACUGGUCGGAAAAUUCAAAAGAGUUUGCUCUGCCCAGCAUGGACCGGGGAGUCAGGAAUGUACCACCGUGUUCUGUGGAAUCCAUUCCAUCUCCUCUCUGAAGCAAAAGGAAACUUUCAGCACUGACCUAGUUUACGUGGCUAUUAUAAAACUCCCCUGUUAAUGAAAGCAGAGGGCAGUUCUAAAUGGAAGCAGCUACCAGGCUUCUGCAGUCUCCCCCAUCUCUAAAGUUCCAUUCUACUUACUCAUUGCACACGCAGCUCUUGCUAAGGAUCAGAUGCAGUUACCCAGUAGCCCGUUCUGCCUAUACCACCAAGCUCAAUCCCUGCAGAAGGAUUUAGUUUGAUUAAUUUAUACUCUUGGGUGACAUUUCUCCUUGGAGGGAGAAGGAGGAAGGAAAAAAGACAGCUUCCUCUAACAUCGUGAAGAGAGGCAGGGGGUGUGUUUAAGCCAUUUACCACAUUACCCAGGGGAAUGUUUGUUCUAAGCUUGGGUUUUACAUAGUCCUGUAACAGCUUUAUGGGCAUGGUACUUGGAGCAUGGUCCAGUGUGAACAUUCUCUUAAGUCUGGUGGGCCUGGUCUCUGCCAAACAUGAAACACCAGAACAUGGGUUUCACAUGAUAAAAAAAAAAAAAGUUCUCGAUCCCCAGCUCCGAAAAAAAAAAAAAAAAAAAGUUCAUCCUUACAGAAAUCAUGGUCUGGUCCAUUGUUGAUAGACUGGAUAACUGCCUCCUUUGCUGAGCAAAGCCAAUUUCUUUGUAAUUCCUCUGUGUGUUGUUCUCAGAUCUGUAGUGGACUUGACUUAGCUAGAGGAUAGAAUUAUUCUCUAAAAGCUUGUAGGAUCGGCUGUAGGAUUGACUUUUAUUUGUCUUGGGCAGCUCCCUCUGUUUUCAUACCUGUGAAAUGUAAGUAUCCACUGUAUUCGUGUGAGCAAAAUGGCGCAUGUCUUUAAUCCCCACACUCGGGAAGCAGAAGCAAGCAGAUCUCUGUGAGUUCCAGGCCAUUCUGGUCUACAGAGUGAGACCUGGCCUCAAAACAACAGCCAAACCCAUGGAUCAGAGGACUGUUAUUGUUUUAAGGCACGGAUGAAAUAAGGUGUCAUUGCAUUCAAACUAAACACUCUGAACUGGUUAAAGUGAUGUAUGCCUAUAACCCUAGCUCACGGGAAGCUGAGGCGGGAAGACCUUAAUUUAGAAGCCAACGUGAGACACCAUAACAAGACCUGACUUGGAAACAAUAAGCCAAGGAACUAUGAGCCCCUUAAUAAGUGGAAAGAGAAAUUGCAUAAGCACAGACUCAUUUUCAGACUAGGGGUUUAGAGGGUCUGCUGUUGAAUUACCGGAGAGUUCUCAUAUGGUCCCACAACUAAAGUCAAGCCCUACUUAUAGAAAACCAUACAUCUAAAAAUAAAAGACACUGUGGCAUUUUGAGGUCCUAAGGCAUAAUAGGGGCAAACAGACAUUAAACAGAUGGGGUUUGUGGCGUUUGUUUUUGUUUUUGUUUAUAGCGAUAAGGUCUUAAGACUGGUUUUGAAUUUUUGGUUCUCUCUCAGUCUCUUGAGUGCUAGGUUUAUAGGUGAAAAUCCCCCUUUCUGUUCCAAGGUUUUCUGUUUGUUUGUUUAAAUGGAUGGAAGGGGUCGGGGUGUGUGCCACAGUGCAUCGUGGAGGUCAGAGGACAGUUUGUGAGAGCCAUCCUUUUCCUUCCACUGUGUGGAUCCCAAGGGUUAAACUCAGGUCAUCAGGCCCCAUGGUCAUCAGGCUCCGUGGUCAUCAGGCUCCGUGGUCAUCAGGCUCCGUGGUCUGUCUCUUUACUUGCUGAACCACUUUGGCCAUCCAUUGUUUUGUUUAAUCCAGAAAGAAAAAUCUUUAAGCCUUUGUAUUUAUUGGGUAUAUAAUAGGGAGAAGAUGGCCUAUAGGACCUGCUGGGGACUCUCCUAUUCUUUCACACUUCCCUGUAUGUAUACAACAUAUCUUGAUUGUAUCCAGACCAAGGAUCCUGGUCACAGAUGAAUUCCCCUUCCACUUUCUUAUCUUUUCUUUUGUGUCAUCUGAGAGAACCUUACACCAAGUGCAGCCAGCACUCCUAAGCUGGGCUACACUAUCCCUCCUCCACACAGGUUGGGUCCUUUCCCAUGUCCUGGGGGAUUGGCUUCUGUGCAGAAGAGCCCACCUCAUCCUUCAUACCAAAGCUAAUUGGUUAAUAAAGGCUCAGCCGUCUAAUAGCAACCAGUGUCGGGGACAUAAGGUCCAUUGAGCUUCAAAAGUGAGUCCAUCCUAGUGUCUAAGUAACUAGAAAAAGCAGGUAUCGGACUUCAAAGAGAUGAGAGGAUAGCCCAGCCAGGUCUCUCUUGUUUUUUUUUUUUUUUUUUUUUUUUUUUUUUUUUUUUCAGCCAAGAGCAUCAUGUGGCAAAUGCAGGAGAUGAAGGUGCAAAGCCGCCCUUGAUGUAGGACCAAGUCCGGUUUUUAUUAUUCUUCAUAUUGGACAUAGAUUUAUUGAUGUAAAAACCAUGCUGUCCUGAUGUGGUCACCAGCUGCUUUCAAAAUCCCUCAAGUCUCAAAUUCUGACAGUGUCUGGCAGGUCCCUGUGUGCGCUUGCCAGAGAAGUGCUUGAGUGUAGCUUUAAGUAAUUUUAACAAAUUAUUUGAUGAUAGUCCACCUUUUACUGGGAAAACACUCCCACACAUCUACCAACCUGUAUCAAAGCUUAUUCUAUUUAAUUUUACCAUCUAAUUUAUACUUCGUUUAUUUAUCAAAAAAAAGUUGUGGACUCUACAAGAGAUGAGAAAAAAAUUUUUCCCCAGUAGUCCUACCUUCUACUAAAAUGUUCUUGUUUUUCUCAUGUAUAGUUUGACAAUGUGUGAUUAGUUUUAACUGUCGACUUGGUAACAACCUAGAAUCCCCUAGGAGGACAGCCCAAAUGAGAGAUUGCCUGGAUUAGGUUGGCCUGUUGGCAUGUUGGGGGUAUUGGUUUGAUUAUUAGUUGCUGUGGGAAGACCCAGCCCAUAGUGGGUGGCACCAUCCCCUAGACAGAGGGUGCAGGAACUAUGUAAGGCAGGGGAAAGCUUGAAGCAAAAAGCAGGCAGGAUGAGUGCAUUUGUAUCUCUGGUCUGCACUGCUUGAGUUUUUGCCUUGACUUCCUCAAAAUGAGGAACGGUAACCUGGAAUAUAAGCCAAAUAAACCCUUUCCUCUCCUAAGUUGCUUUGAUCAGGAUGUUUUAUCCCAGCAACAGAAAUUAAGCUACGAAUACCUAUUCUGGUAUACCUAUCUCUCUAAUAUGGUCCUUUUUAUUUUCCCUUCAGUGUUGGAAAUCAAACUCAGCAUACAGCAUGCAAGGCAAGCACCCUACCACUGAGCUACUACACUCCCAGCCUAACACAGUCUUUGUACUAACUUUUUAAUCAAAAAUUAUGAAAGACUCAGCUAUUCCUACUAAUGUAUUUGUUGACACUUUCCCAGUACUACUUUCUGCUAGGGUUUGUAGAUGUAUUUUGCAAAUGGGUUUCUCCUGUCUGCUUGGUAAUUUCCUUCAAGGCUUCGGGAAAGUGUGGCUUGUAGAUGAUGCAUGCACAGGUGGGUGGAGCAAAAUGUUGAGGCUGUUAUGCUAAUCUGGAAAGCAAAUAAUUAUAGUAGAAAGAUUUGAGUUUCCAGCUGUGGAGAUGGCUCAGUGGGUAAAAGCUUUUGCUAUGCACGCCUGUCACCUGUUUAAGGUCACUCCCCAAGUAAAAGUAGAAAAGCACCAUCUCCACAAAGCUGUCCUCUGACCUCCACCCACACGAUACACAUGUCCACAUCCUCACACACACAUCUUACCACACGCAUGCAUAAACACGUGCACAGGUACUCAAGCACACACACACACACACACACACACACACACACACACUCAUUGGUCAGUUUAAAAGGAUUGGGGGGUGCCUUCUCUCAGUUGUUUUCUGUAUCUUUUCUUUGUAGACAAGGUAGCCUCUGUCUCUCCAUGUACUUGAGAAUGACCUUGAGGUUUUUGUUUUGUUUUGUUUUUUGUUAUUUUGGGGUUUUUUGUUUUUAAUUCUUUUGCCUCUUCAGUGCUAGAAUUGUAGGCAUGAGCCACCCUACCCAUUUUAUAUGGUUCUGGGGAUCAAAUCCCGGACUUUGAGACUGCUAGACAAGCAUUCUACCAAUGAAGCUAUGACCCCCGCCUUCUCUACUGGUUUUGAACCACACUGCUGCCUGUGUGAUGGGAGAGGCUGCUGACGCAUUCGCCAAGUAAAACCAGCAACAGUUUGAUUACUGCCAUCAGAUUCUACUUUGAGCCAAUAGCCAUUUCUGCCACAUUGUCACCAAUUGGAGAAGUGCUGUUGGGGAAGGGGGUAGCUAUGAGCCAUUCAGUAGCAUUUUCCUGUUUGCACCCCAGGAGGCAUCUGAAUUGUUGAGUCUUUGAAGGGCAAGAUUCUGCUGAUGUGAGUGGAGAUCUAUUCCUCCAAUCUGAGACUGUGUUGUCAGUCAUAAUCAUGAGCAAGCCGCUCCAAUAGGAAGCAGGCUCUGCUCUCCUGUUCCCGGGGUCUGUAGGAAGGCAGAAACUCCAUCUCCUGACGGUCUUUUUCCUAGGACUUGGCAUACUGACAUACUCACUUAUUUUGCUGCGUUAAUAAACUAAUUAGAUGUUCAAAUUAAGAAAAACCCCAAGUAUAAAAUGAGACUCCAAGGCUGGGGAGAUGGUUCAGUGAAUAAGAGGACUUGUUCUGUAAGCAUAGGACCAGCGUUCAAAUCCCUGACACAUAGAAAGUCAGGCCCAGGUACCCACCUACAGAGACAGGCAGGUCCUGAGAGUUCACUGGCCAGCUAGCCUGGCUUAGACAGUGAGGCCAGUGAGACCCUUUCUCAAAUGGACACAGCAGAAGAGCAAUAGAGAAAGACACUCGUCAUCCUAUUCUGGCUUCUGCAUGUAUGCACGUCCACGUGUUCACAUGCGUGUAACACACACAGAAAUCCCAGCUACAAUAGACAGUCCUCGGCAUCAGUUGCUUUGUAUAUAGGAUAGAUUUAAUUUAGCUGGUUGGUUACACUUUGAAAUGUAAGAAUAUUGACUAAAAAACAGAAUCCUAGGGGCUGGGGAUUUAGCUCAGUGGUAGAGCGCUUACCUAGGAAGCGCAAGGCCCUGGGUUCGGUCCCCAGCUCCGAAAAAAAGAACCAAAGAAAAAAACAAAAAAAAAAAAACAAAAAACAAAAAACAAAAAAACCAGAAUCCUAGCAGAUAUCAGCCUUCUGUCCUGACUUAUGAUAUGGCCCCACACUUCUGCUGUAUCUUGGAUGUCACCAGCUAUCACCAAACACCUGGACUUCUAUUCCUGUCAAGUGAAGUCAUGCAUGCAUGGCUGCCAGCUACAUUGAACUACAUGAUUGGCUUCUAGAAGAGUUUUGCCUGUUCACAUGUCUGCUGAGGGCAGAACAGGGUAAGGAAUUAUGUAAAUAAGGCAUAUUUUGGAAUUACUGAGGGCAAUCCUAGAUAACUAAAAAUAAUUUGAGAAUUAGAUGUGUGUGUGUGUGUGUGUGAGAGAGAGAGAGAGAGAGAGAGAGAGAGAGACAGACAGACAGACAGACUGACUGACUGACUGACUGAAUGACAGACACAAGGUACCUUAGGAGGUCAGAAAAGGAUAUUGGAUCUCUAGGAGCUGGUGUCCCAGGUGGUUGGAUGCUGGAAUUCAGGUUCUUUUCAAGAGCAGUCAGUCAUACACUUAACUGCUGAACCAUCUCUCUAGCCACCGCCAACCCCUCUCCCCCAGCAAUUUUUUUUAACACAUCCUCCACCACAGAGUUUCCUGAUGAGGGUAAUUGGUCAUUCAGUCAGGAAGUUGCUGGCCUGUCAUACACUUCCCUCUUACUGGGGUCUAUGUCUAGGAGGGCUCACUGCUCCCGAAGUGUAUACCUAACUAUAGAAACUUGAGAGGAAUCCAUUAAGUACUCUUUGCAGUGUAAACACAGGAAUGGGAGUAGGGGUGGGAAGAAAAACUAGAAGCUGAGGGAAAGGCAGGAGGAGAGAACUGGAAGGAAGUGGAAAAUCAGGUUCCUCAGAGGAGAGAACCCCUCCAUCAAUGGGAAAAGGGCCAACUGUGUGGUCAGCCUGAGGUGACUAGGAGGCAUUCUCACAGUGGUGUAGGAGAUGGGCAACUUCAUGUAGAAUGUAGUAGAAAUGAGGUAGGAUUGUUAAAGGAGAAGCUUGAAAACAGUACAUGGAAUCGGGGUACAAGAUUUCAGAGUUUUUAAAAAAGUGGCCCUGCUUGGUGAAGUGUCCGUAGGUUGCGCUCCAGAAGGUUCCUUGUAAGACCAUCGCAGAUGGUGGACCCUCCAAGGCCUCAGAGAAAGGAAAGCCAAACUCAAAACCCACCUCCUGCUGUGUUUACCUCCACCCUUCUCUCUGAGGAUUAUGGGAAGACAGAGAAACUGUUUAUCUUCUUUAUACAAUAGAGACACCCACUUAAGACCCAAUAUAAGGCUGAGAUAUAACUGUCAACAGUGCUUGCCUUGCAAACAUGAGUCUUGAAUUCUGUACCCUUGAACCCAUGAAAAAAGCCAGUUGUGGUGGUGCAUACUUGUCACCCCAGCACUGGGGAGGCAGGGGCAGGUGGGCCCCUGAGGCUCACUGUCCAGCUGGUCUAGCCAAAUGAGACACCGGGUUUCAGAAAAUAAGGUGGAUAAAACCUGGGGUUGGCUUCCUCUUCGGGCUUGGGCUUCGGUUCCGGCGACAUGGCCAAACGUACCAAGAAGGUCGGGAUCGUCGAGAAAUAUGGGACCCGCUAUGGUGCCUCCCUCCAGAAAAUGGUGAAGAAAAUUGAAAUCAGCCAGCACGCCAAGUACACUUGCUCCUUCUGUGGCAAGACCAAGAUGAAGAGACGAGCCGUUGGUAUCUGGCACUGUGGUUCCUGCAUGAAAACAGUGGCCGGCGGGCCUGGUCCUACAAUACCACUUCUGCAGUCACAGUGAAGUCUGCCAUCAGAAGACUGAAGGAACUAAAGGACCAGUAGAAGCCUACUGUUUGAGAAUUGCCUGGUCUACAAUAAAUGGGCUAAUUAAAAAAAACCAAAAGCAAAAACAAAAACAAAAAACCUGGGGUUGUCCUCCGACCUCCACAUGCACAUGACCACUGCACCUGCACACAAAAUAAAUAAUCACAUAGAGGAUUGAGGGUGCAGCUUGGUAUGCAGAGCUUGCUAGCAUGUGUAAGACCUUAGGGUGUGAUCCCCCAGGACUUCAGAAAAUGACAAAACACUACGGGGCUGGUUGUAGCAGCAAAAUUAGCGCCAACUAACAGAAAGCGAGCACAAUGAAUUUCCAAGUCCUUGCCUGUUCUACGGUAGCACAAAGUUCUGACCUCAGUCUUGGGGACAAUUGGCGUUCAACUGGGCGAUGGCCAUUCUGUGGAUUUACAGGCGGAGGCUCCAUGUCGUCAUGAGGCUGUUGCUGCUGUUCAGGUUAAUCCGUGUGCAUCGGUGUGCAUGUGCCCUCCUGCGGCCCCCUAGUAGUGAAGUCUUGGGCCCCUGCGUUUUACUACCUUCUUCUCUAAUUGCAGGUUGUGGCUUGGGUUCACUUUUAAUCCUGAGAGAGUCGGUGUGUUUGUGAGUGCUAUAGAGAGCCUAGAAUUCAUUGUUGGACAUAUUAAUCUGGUCACACACCUUUACCUCACAAGGGAUGUGGCAGCAAUUUGAAUUCCCCCUGACCUAUGUCUUUGCAAGCUGAGUUAACCUCUCUGAGAACACAGUUCCUCACAGGCCAAUCAGAAAUGCUGUCUGUGGGCUGGAGAGAUGGCUCAGCGGUUAAGAGCACCUGACUGCUCUUCCAAAGGUCCUGAGUUCAAAUCCCAGCAACCACAUGGUGGUUUACAACCAUCAGUAAUGAGAUCUGAUGCCCUCUUCUGGUGUGUCAGAAGACAGAGACAGUGUACUCAUAUAAAUAAAAUAAAUAAAUCUUUAAAAAAAAAAAAGAAAUGCUGUCUGUCUGUCUGUCUACUUUAUCUGUUUCCAUUCUCAGUUUUUGUUGACACUCAGUUUAAAUGGCUCUGGGGGAUCGAACCCAGAGCUUUGUGUGUUCACUCUAUCCUAGGGCUUGAAGGUCCCAAAAGAUAAAUGGGUGGGAGCAAACGCUCUGCAAAAUUACAGGGUACCUUUUGCUCUUUGCUUAAUUUCUACUUGUGUGUCAGUUCUUAUCUAGUGCCUACAUUCCGGGCUAACAAAAGAGAGCUUUGGGCUGCAUUCGCCUUGAAUUAGCCUUACCUUAUCCUUAUUUUAAAACGAGCCUUCUUGCUUCCUUUUAUGUCAUCCCUACCCUGCAAUAAAAAUAAAGAGCUGGAGUGAGAUGGAGCUGAGAAAUUACAGGACUGCAGAGUGAAAACUCCUCGAGGUAUAGAGAAGAGCAGUCUGAGGCAGAUCCCGUGUCUCGUGCCACAGGCUGGCCGCGCAGCCUCAGAUGUGGAGCGGCUGCAGGCGGGUGCCUUGUGCAGAUGCGCCAGAAGUAAGCUGACUAAGUUUAGACUGUGGAAGGGACAUGACGUAUCGAUGAUUUGGGCUCGUUUCUCUUGAGCUCACUGUUGUCUGAGGUGGGAAAGGGAUACAUCUAUAUAAUUGCAUUAAGACAACGGUUUGGACUGGACACGGUGGCACGCUAGGUAACCGAGGUGCUGUGGCAGGGGGAAUCACAGGUUCAGGAUCAAUACUCAUAAUGUAGUGUGAGAGCGCUCGUGUUGCCUUUAUAGAGGACCUGAGUUCUGAACUCAGCACCCAUGCUGGGUGGCUCACCUGUAACUCCAGCUUCUGGCCUCUGAGGGUACUCACACACACGGGCACACACAAGUAAAAUAAAUCCAUCCUUCCGUCUUAAUCAGAGGUUGAGAAGAAAGGUGCUGGUGACUAAAAGGGCAUUUUCCACGUGGCUACUACCUCUAACCCCAGUGCUGAGGAGCCCAAGGUAGACCGAUUACAAGUUCGAGGCCUGACACUUUUUCACUUAUCCCUUGCACCGUGAGCCUAUGGGUUGAUUUAGGCAGAGGGCUGGAAGCAAUCCUCAGGACUCUUUGAGAGGGUUUAAUUUUAUGUGUAAUUAUCCUAUAUGAACCUCUGCCACUGUUUGCACUGCGCUGUCCGUUUAACUCGACAGCAUGGACCUAACACCAAGUUUAUUCUACGCCUAGAAUCUGUAUUAGAGCCAUGGCGAGGGAGGACUAGGAGCUGUUUACCUUAAAUGAUCCUUGACUUGAACAUUAGGUACCCCAGAAAGCCUGCCUGGUUUGACUUCUAAGAUCUUCAGUUACAGCACUUUGAUUCUUACCCUUAAGAAAAUUCUCCUCCGAUCAUUUCGAGCCGCGUGGAAUAUCUAUUACUGCUUAGGAAUUCGCUGUGGUUUUCAUUGAUCGUGGCCCCAGACUUUGGAAUAUGUAUUAAUUUAUCUGGGCAAAGAGUACAGAACUCCACAUGAAGAAUGCCAUGAACUCUCGGCUGAAGCAGACGGCAGCUGGGAAUGAUUAAUUCUCAAAAAAGAAAAGAAAAAGAAAUCCUUGAACCAUCGGCAUUAAUAAAUAUUGAGUUGUGAGAAGGUAUUUUGUUUGCACUUUAUUUCCGAACGUAUGGAGGUAAUUGGACUAACUUCUUGCUCCAAAGAGGGAGUAAUUUCCCCCGAUGUGGACAGUAUUUGUUUAGAGUCAUUGGUAAAUUAUUAAUCCACGUUUGGAUGUUUGAAAUACCAGUCCACCCUCUCCAUUGGGAACUGCGCUUACGCUGUGAGCAGCAGAGGCUUCUGGGAAGUGAGAAUAGCUGUGGCUUGCUCUUAAAGACCUUAAGAGGGAAUUUAAAAAAGGCAGUGGCUGUGCAGGAAGUGGCCUGCUCAGCGUUCGACAGCUGGCGGUCACCAUGUCCCAGUCAUAUGAUGCCCUCCAGUUAGAAGGAACACUAACGUGCUGUGGGAAAGUUUGGGUGGGCUUUUUUCCUCUCUGCUUUGACUCACAGAGGCCCUUGAGUGCCCUUUACCAAGUUCCUGUGGCUUCUUUGAACAGAUGUCAAAAUCUCUUUGGGUUUGGAGUGACCCCAAAUGCUUAUAACUCUGAGUCUCGGGUCCAUUUUUUCUUCCAACUGUGUGCAGGUCAGAUUGCUACGUGGGUGUCUGAAACAUUUAAUAAGAUUCUAGGGCCCUCCAGCUUCGGCUGCAUUCCGUGUCCUAGCUGAGACACUCAGUCAUUGACCUCGCUGAUCCUAUGCUAGAUGGACCAGAAGGAGAGACCUCACCCUAGUGCUGGUUAAGGGAGGUGGAGGGGCCGAGUCAGACCUAGCUAGGAGUCUCAUGGGCUAGAAUGCAGACUUCAAGGGGAAGCUGUAUUCCUAACUUCCAAGCCGUGCUUCCCAUAGAGCAGAGAACUCAGAGCCGGGCUGAGCAUGAAGGAAAUGUUAGCUCUGACGUCUUGCUAACUAUUUCCACGUAUUUACUGCAUAUGUAAGGAACCCUUUGACUCAAGUUCUAUUUUGAAUGCCUGUCUGGAUGGCAGGGCUGUGGUUUUCUUGAUGGGUUGAACCCAAGCUGAACUCUGAUUUUGAAUGAUAAACCAACCCUGCCUUAGCUUCAUUCUUUUGAGUAUAUACAUACACACACACACACACACACACACACACACACACACACACACACACAUAUAUAUAUAUAUCCCCUUCUCUUACCCCAGUCCUUAGGUUUUCACAUGCCUGGGACUUAAGCCUUGCAGAAUUUGGCCAGUCUGUGGACAGACCUAAGCAGAAGGCCACUUCCCGUCACAGGGGAUGACAGUAGACCUUUUGCUCACACCUGCUACCACCAACUGGGCAAAGGCCAAAUUCUGCAAGGCCUUUUGAGUGCCAGCCAACAUUCAGGGCCGCAGGUUUUCUCACCCUCCAUGCCUAACACCCAAGUCACCAGGCUUUCCGCAGUAGUGGGGAUGUGGGCAUGGGAAUUAAUUCUGUCACCUCUAGCACCAGCCAACUCCAGCUACCUAGCCUGUCUCCUUAGAGAGAUGGGAGCCUUGCCCCUCUAUUGACAGGGAGUCUCAACUUUGCCAGAGAUGUGUGCAGAAAUGAGAGCUGACCUGGUCUUUCCUUGAUGCCGAGGCUCCCCUCCCCGCCUCCGCACAUACACACUGGACGUCAGUUUGCCUCACCAUCUCCACCCAUGAAGAGACAGACAGCUCCGCAUUGCUCUGCUCCUAGUCGGGCAGUUGCUCCUAGAAUGAUGUAGAUUGUUCCUUCUUGUCUCUCCCUUCUUGGCCUCUGGAGUUCUCUACUCAGCAGCUCAGUGUUUAAAGUAAAUAAAUGCAAAUUUUUAUAUGAUGUUUAUUCUGUGUCGGCCCAGAAGGAGACAUUUAAGGCUAGGUUGUUUUGGUUUUUUUUUUUUUUUUUUAGAACUUUGUAAAAUGUCUUUUUAAAAAUAAGUGUAUGGCCUGGAGGUGUAGCUUAGUGGGAGAGCACAUUCUGUCCUGAGUUCUAUCCCUGCCACCUCAUCCCAAUGUCAAAUGUAAGCAAACAGGCACCAGUUCUUCCUGUGACCCUGAGCUACACUGGUCGUAGGAUGGGGCGUGUGGGAGGCAUAGUCAUGGGACACUGUGGGUGGAUGACCAGACUCAGGUGUGGUUUGCACUCGGUGAUAGGGGACAGACAGAUGCCUUCCUGCCAAGGAGGCCAGUUUCACUUUAAUUCUCUCUUCCUGCCGAGACUCUGCUCAGUAAGCCAUGCCCAGCAUCCAGUUCCUUCAGGGUAGGUAGCUGUUCACUCCAAGCCUGUUUCCCAGAUGGUGGUUCUACUUUAACUCUUUAUGGGGAUGUGGGCGGGGCGGGAUCAUGGCCAUUGAGGUAGGCUCUCCUGGGUGUGUUUGUUGGUUCCUCUCCUGUUCUCUUUUACUGACAGAGGAAGGAUUCUCCGGAGAGCAAUUCAUCACCUCCAUCCCGUUAAAGCCUCACUAUAAACGUAGACCAAAAACAGUAUUGGGCCCCUUGAAAUGUAAAUCCAUGUGUGGGAGUCACAUAGGCUCAGGACAUUACUUAAUAAUCAAAAGGUGGGGCUGGAGAGAUGUCUCAGGAGGCAAACAUUUUCCAGAGGACUCAAGUCCAGUUCCCAGCACCCAGGUUGGGUAGCUCACGACAACUUUUAACUUCAGCUCUGGGUUCCUCAAAUGCUCACACUCACACACACAUCAUUUAAAAAAAAAUCACAGAUCAACAGUUACCACUGAAAGAGAGCUUGGAGUUUAAAAGAAUAUUUUAUUUUAUUGUUUGUACGUGAUGGGCGGGGCAGGGUCGUGCCUUGACACAAGAGGUCAGAGGACAAGUCGGUGCAGAUGAGUAGGCUUUAUGUAGGCUUCGGGGAUUGAACACUUGUUGUCAGGCUGAACCGUCUCACCGGCCCUGAUUUCAUGAUUUUUGAAUUGAAAUGUAGGUCGGUUUAGGCCGGCCUCACGACUUAUUCUACUGUGCAGUUUUCCAGAGGAAGUGAAAAUUAUUUGCAUAUUAAGGGAAAUACAUAGUUCUCUGGGUUUUUUUUUCCUCUUUUCUUUCCUUCCUUUCUUCUUCCUUUUUCAUUUGAGCACCUGAUGAUAAACAUGACCCAAAUAGACAAGUAAAGCUUUACGUUUGAGCAGAGUUUAAACUCUGAAGAAGCUCGGAGCAGGGCCUGGAGAGAUGGCUGAGUGGUGAAGAGCGCUGGCCGCCAUUCCUGAGCUCCUACCUUCCCUUCCCAGUUCUCACAGGAUGGUUUACAACUGUCCGUAGCUUCGGUUCCAGGAGAUCUGAGGCUCUCUUCUUACACUCUGUGUAAGUGGUACACAGACAUACCUGCAGAGGAAACGCUUAUACACAUAAAACAAAAUACAAAUUAAAAUAAAAAUAUAAAGGAAUCUCAGAGCGGAGGCUGGGGCGUAGCAGAGUUGGCUGAGUGCUUUUAUCACAGUCUCCGAGCCGGAUUCUCACUGAACGUAAAACCCUGAUAGAGAGUCUCAAGUCCCACCACCACCUGUAGCAACCCAAGCGGAGCCUCCAGUGCUCACUCCCUCGGUACGAGUGUAGCUAGUACUAGUACAGCAGGCAUCAAUGCCUGUUUAACCUACUUUUGGGGGAGGGAGAGACAGGACGUCAUAGAUUAGCAGUGUUCUGCCACUGUUCUGUACUCCCAGCUCAUAUACCUGCUUUGGGAAAGGAUCCUCAACACUGCACAAAAACGGUUUGGGAGUACGGGGUGGGGCACAUGGACAAUCCAAGCACUGGGGAAGUGGAGGCAGGAGGUUCAGAAAUUGAAGGCCAUCCGGGCUCCACAGUGAGUUUGAAGCCAGUAAGGGACACCUGAGCUGGAAUGAGCUGUGGGCAACAAUCACGCCCCCUACUUGGCAGUGAGAAAAUGCCAGGCAGAUGCAAGGCCUUGCCUGAGCUGCAGCUAGGGUGACUUGUCCUCCUGAGCUGCAGCUAGUGUGACUUGUCCUGACGUUGACGUGCUACUGUGUGCAGGACUCCGAGCAGGUUUCUGACAGCCUGCGCUAGCUUAAGGAAGAAAGGGUGGUUUAUGUUUAAUCCCAAAAAGAUAAGGAGGAAAUGUUCACUUCUGAAAAGUAACAGAAUAUUUUCACAAAAUAAAAAGCACUUGCCAAAGUGAUUGGACAUGUAUAUAUCCCUGCCCCGCCUCCAAUCCCGAGAACCAAAUCUAGGACCUCCUACAUGCUAAACACAUGCUCAACCACUGAGUUGUGCCCUCAGCCUUCUUUAGUACUUAGUUUUUGUAUAGUAAUAAUCUCACCGUUAUAUGUUUCGUUUUGAGGCAGGGUUUCUCUGUGAACCAUCGCUGUCCUGAAACUCACUCUGUCGACCAGGCUGGCCUUGAACUCAGAGAACCGCCUGACUCUGCCUCCCAAGUCCUGGGAUUAAAGGCAUGAACCAUCACUGCCUCGACACCACUGAGCUAUCUCUCCCACCCAUGUCUUGUUUUAAAGCAUGAGAAUCGGGCUGGAAAAGAUGGCUGAGACGUCAAGAGCACUGGCUACUCUUUCAGAGGACCUGGGUUUGAUUCCCAGCAUCCCCAUAGUGGCUCACAACCAUUUCUAACUUCAGUUUCAGGGAAUCAAUCCAGUGUUCUCUUCUGGACCCUGUGAAGUACCAGCCACAGAUGUGGCGCACAGACAUUCAUUAAGACAUUCAUACACAUAAAACAAUAGUUUUUAAAAGUAUGCGUUACUCAUACCCUCUAACUCCGAGGUGUACCGUGUAAGCCAUUUCACCCCGCAGCUGUGUGCAUGGAGCGGCUCACCUCACACCUUCUGACUAAGACACUACCAGAAUUUACUGUCAGCUAUCCCGCAAACACCCCUGCAUCUGUUAUCUGGAGAUCUUUCUCUUUUAACUAAAUAAAAAAAUGAGUUUAUUUAAGUUGUUAAACCUGUCGAAAGGUAGCUCCUCACUUACCAGCCCUACCCACUUUCUUUUUAUUGGCCUUGGGACUUAUAUGACUGGGUCUCCUCUGGGUUUUCUAACAGUGCAAAUGUCAUACGUACCGUAGAGGUGUGCGCACUUACCUCCCACUUCCUGCCACCAUCUUAGGCCAUCCUCCCUGCUUAUUGGUUGAGCCUUCUCUUCCCAUGUAGGACUUGUAGUUAAAGUCAGUUGUGUCUGACCGACUCCUUCCUGUCAGUCAUGGCAGCCAGUGUCUUUACCCAUUGAGUUGUCUCUCAGCAACCCAGAAAUAGUUUCUCCUAAUGUGAAGUUAAAAAGACAUAAAAUGUGAAAGCACGGAUUUUAAGACAUCAUUAAGAAAGAAAAAUAUGGGACUGGAGAGAUGGCCCCAGUGGUUAAGAGCACUGCUUGCUCUUCCAGAGGACCCAGGUUCAAGUCCUAGCACCCACGUGGCAGCUUGCAAUUGUCUAUAAUUCCAGUGCUAGGAGAUACGACAUCCUCACACAGACAUACAUGGAGGCAGAACACCAUCGUAAAUGAAAUUUUAAAAAGAGAGGAGGGAGGGACAGAGAGCGGGGGAGGAUAUCAAAGACCAAACAACCAAUGUGCUUCUUGGAAGCAACAAAAUCUGGGUUACGCAUGAUUGGAUUUCACUUCCCCAUAGGCAGACCCAUAUUUUCAAGACAUCCAGGUAAGCACGAACCUUUCCCCCUCAUUCGGCCCUCAACUUCCACCUCACUGCUGCUAGGCAAGCGAUUUGAGCUUCAGAAGCAACGCUCAGAGGUUUGGGCUUGGGUCUAGUUGGGUCUAGCCUGUUCUGAGGUUAAGAGCACUGGUUGCUCUUUUGGAGGACCCGGCUUGCUCCUCUGCACCCCAUGGUGGCUUGCAACAGUUUAGAACUCCAGUUCCUGGGGAUCUGAUGUCCUCUCUUGACUUACCCCAGCGCCAGGCAUGCAUGUAUGCAGGCACUCUUACACAUAAAAAAAAUUUUAACGCUUUGAGAGUUUACAAAAAAAGUGUUGGCUAUUUUUACCUGCCUGUCUGUCUGUGAGCAUUUGAGUGCAAUGCCUUCAGAGGCCAAUGGAAGGUGUUGGAGCUCCUGGAUUUGCUGACUGUUUGAGCCACCGAGGGGGUACUGAGAAUUGAACUCAAGUAGCAGUACUCAUACCAUCAGAACCGUCUUUCCACCCUCGAAAUAAAUAUUUUUAAAAGAAGUUUGCACUUUGCAUCUACAAAUAAUUUGGGAUUUUGUUAUUUUUCAAAUAAAGUGUUUUUGGGUUUUUGGGGUUUUUUUUUUUUUUUGUUUGUUUUUGUUUUUGUUUUUGUUUUUGUUUUUGUUUUUUUUUGAGACAAGGUCUGGGGGUCUAAGACUCAUCCUGAACUUGAUGCAAAUCCAAGGUUUCCUCAUCUGUGGCACAGCAGUGCCAGUCAGAGUGCCUGCCUCCCAAGGUCAAGGUCAGCUGUGAAGACUGAAUCAGCCCACAGGACAGACCUAGCUAGGAAAAGUCCAUGUCUCAUCAGCAUCCCUUCCUCUCCGAGUCUCCUAGGCUCCUGGUGAGUCAGUUUGCUUUCCCCGGCAGGGCAUCGGCAGACAGGAACUGCACUUUGACACCGCUAGCACUGCCCCUCUUAGCAGCCUAGUAUGUCUGUGCAGCCCCUGCAUGGUCAUCUUGUGCACCCUACUCACUGGUCUGUUGUUGGUUUCCUUUUUAAACUACUUUUAAAAUUUAUUUCAAAUGUAUACGGAUUUUUGCCUGCAUGCAUCUCCAUGCACGAUGUGUGUGCCUGGUGCCCGUGCCCACAGAAGCCAGAUGAUAAUAUUAGAUCCCCUGGGACUGGGUAGAUUGUUGUGAGCCACCUUGUGGAUGCAGGGAGCCAAAGAGGAGGUCUGCCUGAAGGACAGCCACUCUUAACCAUUGAGGCAUCCCUCCAGCCUGAGCUCUUUGUUUUUAUCACAACCAUUGGAAACAGGGCCACCCACACAUGCUGGGUAAGCAUUUUACACACUGAGCCCCGGGCCCCAGCCCCCAGCACCUCCUCUAGCCUCUUACAGAGGUCACAUCCAACCCUUGUUAAGUGGGGGUGUGUGUGGAGACACAGGAUGGAGUGUGUAGUGUUUUCUCUUGACCACACAAACCCAUCAGGUGAACCUUCCUCUCACCGGAGUGUGUUGUGGGGGUGGGAAAGCGUCCUAGCUAGACUAUAGUUCCACACUGAAGUGUUCUGGCACUCCCGAGGCUGUUCACUGGGCUCUGCAGUUGACAAGUCCGUGGGCAUUAGUUAGGAGGCUUUAAUAUCCUGGCUUAUUUCCCACUUCCAGUUCCAACGUCUGGUGUGUUGAUUGCUCUGGGUGACAUCUUCCUUAUGAAGCACAAAGUUUUCAUAGAAAUAUGGGAAGGGGUCAGCCUGACAGACUCCGCACGAAUCCUCUGAGAACUAUGCUGUAGGAAUCGGGGAGUUCAGAGUGUGGUCCACACCGCACUCAAUAGCUGUUAUAAUGAUCAGCGUAGUCUGUAUUGGCAGGAAGCAAUCAGAAGAGGGAUGGGUGGAUGGGAAAGCAGGGCUUGCAGUCACGUGAUCGACCAUCAGAACAUUAGCCUUUUUUCCCCUCUUUUCCUCAUCUUUUGGUAAUACUUUUGAGGAGAAAGAGAGUGGCCCCGCCCUUUUUCCCCAUUUUUGGCAGACUUGGGGAUGAAUUCAUUAGCAUCUUGGCCUCCAGGCUGGAGAGCAGAACCUAUUCUCUUUGUAGUGGGUCCUGUCAGGAAGCUUACGAAGGCAGUUGGAAAAAAUGGCACCCUUUCUGCUGUCAAGGACUUUUACGAGGGUCAAGUAUCCUUAGUACAGUGUCAGUCCAGAGUGACUUGUGACUUGGCCUCAGCCGAGAAUGCCACAGCUGCCCUGUGACAGGUUUUAUUAGCCACAGACCUGAAUGCACUAAAUGCUUGUGAUGGCGAGAAACUACCAUUCUGGGCUCCGAGGUCCUCCCUCAGCCCCUCCUUUGGAGUCUGAUCUCUUCAUCUUGCUCUCUCCUGUUGUCACUCAUUGACUCUUCUUGGAGUCACCACAAACCCAUUGCACCAGCACAUCUUGAGCCUCAGAUGCCUCAGUGUAAAAUCUACUUCAAAUGGCCCCCGAAUGUGUCUGAGUAACCUCUGGGUUAUAGUUUGUCAUGAGAAAGUUUGAGUUCCACAAUGGAGCAGCAGAAAAAAAUAGGAGGUCAGCCUUGAAUCAGAGAGGAAGGAGAGACUCCACCUGCAAAAAUGACCUCUGACCUUCUCACAUGCUCUAUCCUACACACACACACACACAAUAUGUGUAUGUAUAUAUAUAUUAUACUAUAUAUAUGUAUAUAUGUAUAUAUACAUAUAUAUAUAUCACACACUGAGGGUUUAGGGGUAGGGCGUUUUCCUGGAGUGUGGAAAGGUCCCGCGUGCCCAGAGACACUAUGUAAAAGGAUCUCAGGGGUGACCCCAAAUAUUCAAAUAUUCAAUAUUCUUCCCUUUCCAAGGCUUCCUUCUGUUUUCUCAUUGUCCUCUCUACCACUGCUUAAAAUAGUUAAGGCACAUCCUUACCUUUUUGUUGGUUUUGUUCUGUGCUUUUAUACAAGGUCUCAUGUAGCCCAGGCUGCCUUGGAAUACUGUGUAGCUAAGGAUGACCCUAAACUCCUAAUCCUUCCUCUACUCACCAUGUAUUGUGACUUUAGGUAAUUGCUAGUGCAAUACCUGUGCAUCCCUUGGAACAGAAGCCAUGGUUGGUAAGCACUUGACCUACUGAUCCACAUCCCUAGCCCAUCGCAUUUACUUUCUAAUUCCUAGGUCCUCUGCAGCCCAGCGCUGGCUACGCCUACACUACUAAUUCCAAUACUGUGUCUCUCUGUCCACUCCAGGGAGACUGAGGAGGAAAGGUCAAACAGACCUCAGUAUAUUUAGCGAGGUUUGCAGAGCAGGUUGGAUGGGCUGAAGGCCUCCCUGUCUGAUGCUUGCCCCAGUCUGUCUGGGUGUGACGCAGCCAUUUUGGUGUCUGUCAGGUUCCACAUCCACAGGAGUAAUUAAGUCAUCUUAGUAAUUUCAUGUGGUGCAGAAAGUCCCAAGCCACAAAUACCAUCCCCAGUUCCUACUUUUAAACUUCCAAGGAGCUUCCUGCUCCCUCCUUCCUCUAGUUCAUCUAAAGUCCUUCUAUUUUCUCUUUCUGAAUACAUGGGCUGAACGGAAAGUCCUGGUUUACUUAGUGAGGGGCUCUGGGGCCAACUCAUGUGAGAGGACAGCCAGCCUUUGUUUGGCAAGGGUGGGAACAGUGAGGAAAGUGCCCACACACUCAAACGAGAAGCACAAAAACCACCCCACACAAACCUUCCCCCUACUGUGUGGAAAUCCAUAGUCCAUCUCCACAAUGGUCCCUGACAAGUGACAUGGUGACAAGGGGAGUUUCUGUGCCUGUAUUCCUAUUUCUGUGUCCUAUGUAACAAUGACUAAAUCACUUAUGUCUAAGAUAUGGAAUUUCUUGUCCCAUUGGACCACUAUUAGAGCCUGUUUUGUUCUUGUUGUUACUGUUUAGACACAAGGUCUCAUGUAGUCUGGGCUGGCCUCAAACUUGCUGUGUAGCCAAGGGUGGCCAGGUAUGGCUGAGCCUCCUUCCUGUGCUCCCCAAAUGCUGGGACCACGGUUGUGUGCUACCGUGUCCAGUUUUGUGUAGUGCUGGAGAUUGAACCCAGGGCAUUGUGGAUGCUGGGCAAACACACUACCCACCAGCCACAACCCAGGCCCUCCACUGCUUCCUUAGACAAUGGCCUUUUCUUGACCUUAGAUGUCUAUGAGUAAUUCCUUCAUUGCAUUCAAGUGACACAGUGUCUCUGUCUCCCACCAUUUAGCUUACUUCAAGAUCCCGGUGGAAUGGAUUCCAGCUAGAGAAUAUUCCAACUUUUUCUUGGUGCGAAUCAAUGCUACAUGUUAGUUUAUGAUAUGCUUCUCCAGGGAUGGAGAGAGGAUUUGACAGUCAGGAGUACAUGCUGUUCAUGCAGAUCGAAGUCUAGUUCCCAGCCCCCGUAAUGGGUGACUCACAUCUGCCUAUAAUUCCAGCUCCAGGGCAUGUGACAUCCUCUCCUGGCCUCUGGGCACCUGUACACACACAUAAAUAAAAAUGAAAAAUUAAAAUUAGGGCUGGAGACAGAGCUUGGCCAUUAAGAGCAUUUGUUAUUGUUGCAAUCCAGGUUUGAGUCUUAGCGUCUAUAUGGAGGCUCACAACCAUCUGGAACUCCAGUUCCAGGAGUUCUGAUGCCCUCUUCUGUGGGCACCAGGCCUAUGUGUAGUACACAGACAUACACAUAUAAAAUAUUCAAAUAAAAUAAAAUAUCUACUGUGUCUAAUAUGUAUAUAACUAUGUUUUCCCACUAGAGCAGUGUGUGUGCACACAUUUCGCUCUGCAUCAGAGCUACAUGGAUGAAUCGGCCAGGUUGCUUGGCCUAAGCCUCAUCUUUCUUUAAGCUGUGGGACCCAUGACUCUAUCUAGCAAGGUUGCAGAAGCCUCCUGUGGUGAGCUACGAUGAUUGAGAUUGGUGCUUGAUUACUGGGGGUAUGUAGGUUAGUGGUAGAGAAUCUGUCUAGCAAGGGAGACACCCUGGGUUCAGUCCCCACCACUACAGAGACAAAAGAGCCUAAGAAGAACUGGGCUGCCAGGGCUGUUUCCCGGAAGCAAUGGGGGACCCUUCUGUUGUUGGAAAGUCCCCACUCCUCCAUCUGGCUGAGUAAGUCAUCUGCAUGUUCCAGGCUCAUACCAAGUCCCCAUCUCUCACAAAACCUUUCCUGAUCUGUCAGCAGAGCUCCUCUCCCUCCUCUGGACUCUCUCCAUAUUUCAACGAGACCUUAGAGUUGGAUCUGUUGUCUUGUGUUAUGUGUAGAGUGAUAUAUGCCAGUACCUUCCCCAACCACGUGGCAUAGACUUGAUAGUGCAAACAGACCUGUUUCAUCAGGCCCCAACAAGACACAGUCAAUGAGCUCAAAGUUGAAAAUAUUCAGGAACAAGAAUGCAUCUGUAUUAAACAUGUGUAGACAUUUUCCUUGUCCCCGUCCCCUAGACGAUACAGGACAGCAGCUGUAUACACUUAUGCUGACGGUGAUCCCGGGGUGAUUUAAGUUAUUCGGCAGGGUGUGCACAGGUUAUAUGCAAACGGUACAUCUUUUAUAGUAAGGGUUUGAGCAUCUAUGGACUUUGGCCUCCUCAGGGUCCAGUAACCAACCUCUGAUUCAUCUGAAGGAACAAUGUGGCCUAUUGCAUGCAUAGGUUGUCUCUCUGAACCUGGCACAAGAUGAAGGGUGUUGCUGAUAAAUCGGUAAUCGAGUGGGUGAAGAUUCAGGGUGAGGAGUUAUUGCUCCUGUCUUACCAACGAUGAUUGUCGGCUGCUGUGGGGAGCCUAGACACCAAGUUUCUGCUUCUGCUGUGAUAAACUCUGGCACUUUUCUGAAGCAGAGUCAUGGUGAUGGACACUCAGGUCCACUCUCGGGCUCUCAGACUCUGCCCGUUGUUUGCUGUGCAUGAGAAUUGGUCUCUUGAUCGCAAGGUCAGUGUGCAAGGAGUGAAGCAUUGGGGGCUUAGGGAGGUUGGCUGGGGCCUGUGAAGGCCUUGCAUGAUACACAAGGGGGUUGGACUCUGGGUGGGAGGGUGUUAGUGAAUGACAGCCAGGCUUGUUUUGUUGGCAUACAGUCUGGAGACCCUGGUUUUGAACAGAAUGGAAUCUAUAUAAACUACAAAAGAAUUUCAAAAUUUCUGGUUGGAAGACCCCUCCCCCGUGUGUGUGUGUGUGUGUGUGUGUGUGUGUGUGUGUGUGUGUGUGUGGUGUGUGUGUGUGGUGUGUGUGUACACUGUUAUGAAUGAAUGCCAGUGUACAUGUGCCGUGGCACACAUGUAGACGUCAGAGGAUGUGAUGGCUGAUUAUUUUAACCACUCCAACCCAUUUUUGAACAUUUGCUUUUUUAUUUUAUAUAUGUGGGUAUUUUGCCUGCAUGGGUGUCUGUGCGCCAUGUGGGAGCAGUGUCCUUGGAGGCUAGAAGAGGCCAUUGGGUUCCCUGGAACUGGAGUUACAGAUGGUUGUUAGCCACCAUGUGGAUGCUGGGAAUCAAACCCAGGUCCCCAUUAGACUGGCCCGUGAGAACGGCUGCGUGGCAUUUUCUUGCUUGUUGAUUGGUGUAGGAGGACCCAGCUCACUGAGGAUGAUGCCAGACCUAGGCAGGUGGGCCAGGGCUACAUCACAGAGGCAGCCAGAUGUGAAUCAGAACAGUGCUGGAGGCUGCAUUCCUCCCUGGUCUCUGCUCAUCUCUGGCCCCAGGUUCCUGCCUUGGCUUCCCCUUUCCUCCCUGAGUUGCUUUUGGUCAUGAUCCUCUCUUACAGGGACAGGAAAAGUAAGUAGGACAGCAGACAAGCUCCGUGUCAGCAUUCACCUUCCACCAGUUUGGAAGCAGGUCUCUCGGCUGCUACCUCCAAGGCCUGAAUGAAGGACCCUGGAGAAUGGAGGCAGACCCCCAAGGCUGAAGGUGCCAGGGAAACAGAGUCAACAGAGAAAGGCAGAAAGGGUGGCUCUGCCUUUCCCACACUGGCUGAUCCCCCCAGAUGCUGCUGUCCAUCACUAGGGACUCCAGCUUUCUCUCGCCCUCCCAGGACCUCAGGCACUCACACAGCUGCUGGAGUGUCUGGUCCAAAAACCUGUGCUCCAUUGCCGCUUGGAGGUGCCUGGAGACUGGCCCCUGCCCAGGCUGUUCUGGAAGCUUCCUGGACAUGGUUUCAGUUUGCUGUUAGAAAGCAGUGGCCUACAUUUUUGCCCAAUGGUCUUGUUCCGCUUCCCUCCUCCUUUCUCGUCUCGUCUCGUCUCGUUAGUUGCUUUUCUCGUUGCUGUGAGAAAAAAUACAGGGCAAGAGCAACUUUAGGAAGAAAGAAUUCUUCUUGGCUGAUGGUGGGAGGGAACAGUCCUCGGUGGUGAGUGUGAAACACACUACAUCCAAGGUCAGGAAGCAGAGGGAGGUGGAGGCUGGUGCUCCACUCGCUCUCCCCAGCCCAUGAAGUAGGACCACACAUUUAGUGUGAGUCUUCUCAUCUAAUCUCGAACAUUCCUGGCCAUAGCCACAGCUCUGUGCAGGUAUCUGUAAUGAGAGAUUCCACAUCUGGUCCAGCGGACAGUAAAGGUGAACCAGCACCGUGCUGUUUCCUCCGUCUUCCUGCAGGCGAUUCUUUGCCCCUGUCUCUUCUACUGGCUUCCAUCCCACUCUCAAACCCCAAACUUGCAGUCUGGCUUUUGAGGUCACUCCACAGAGAGGCUAAGGCUGCAAGGGUAAAGACCCAGGAAAAGGAAAAGCAGGGAAAUAGCCCAAAGGUCCCCUAUAGGGUUUUCUGUGUUGUUUUAAAUGAGUAACCCCAUUAACAGAUACAUGACCCCCCAUUUCUGUCCUUCGCUAUAGCAAGGGACUGCUUUGUAAAGUCUUUGCAAAUGGAAGGCACGCGCUGAAGCAAUGACCAAAAAUAAAAAAUAAAUAAAUGAAAAGCAUUUUUACAAAUCAAGCAUUUUAUACCCUUCGAGGGAACAGCCCAUCACAAUCACAGAUUUAACUUUUGAGGCUCUGCCGACCUAUGCAACAACCUUGUUGCAGUGGCAGGCAGGUUAAGUGCUCUCUUCCGUCUACAGAUGUGACUAUUUCAUGGGAGGCCAAGAAGGAGUGAGCUGAAGCCGCACUGAGGUUGAACGUGGUAGCGUCACGGUGCUUGCCUUUUCUUGUGUGCAUAUGUGUGCAGGCAAGAGGAUAACCUCAGAUGUCAUCCCUUGGGCAGUUUUUUUUUUUUUUUUUAAACAGGAUCUUUCACUAAACGGGUUACACUGGCCGGCCUGCAAGUACCAGGGCACCUGCCUCUGCCUCCCCCGUCCUGAGAUAACAAUCUCAAGACUUCACACCUAGCUUUAUCUCACUUGGGCUCUGGGCACUGAACUCAGGCCCUUGUGAUUACAAAGUAGGCGCUUUGCACACCGAGCCUUGUUUCCAGUCUAUCUUAGUGUGAUAGCAGGAUCUAGCUAAGAAGGUCUCAAGCCUGAGGGGGUUGCUCCUUACCCCACAACACCCACCCCACCCUCAAACCCUCAGUGUUGGGAUUGUAUGUUUUCACUGUCAUGCUUGGCUAAGUCUUUAAGUGCUCCUCAAAACAGACGUUUCUUUAGUGUCACUUUGGGGCCAUAUCGGUAAGCUCUGGGCUCUUAGGAAAGCAUCAAACAAGAUGGCAAAAACUAAACCAGGCCUGUAAUCCCAUCACCAUGUUGAAUGAAGUAGGAUUGGGAGUUGGAGGCCACCCUGGGCUACAUAACAAAACUCAGUCUCUAAAAAUAAUACAUUUACUGGAAUCACCGACCAAUGCAAAACACAGUAGGCAAAGAUUUGGGGAAGCCAGGCUCUGCAGAAGGACCUGGGGGGCGGGGGUUGACCUAAGUUUAUCACAUUUGACUGGGAAGUUUCAUCCUGAGGAUUUGGGAAUCUGUUCAUGGUUGUAGUGAGCUGUGUGUUUAUCUCUCUCCCACUUGACAUUCUGGGUACCUUCGGUUGGUGGCUGGCACUCUGAAGUCAUGUGGGUCCAGGCUGAUUCCCAUUUCCUGCCCUGCCGCCUUAGGGUGUGGCUCCUGUCUUUGUGGACCCAUGAUGAAGCUCUGGUCACCACCCUCUAAUUUGAGCAAGGGAGAAGGAGGCCUGUCCAUGUCCUUCCCUUUGUGAUACACCCUGAGACUCAGGACACGCCUUCCCAGUUAAGUCACUGGGACCACACCUAGGUGCUUGGGAGUCUGAGAAUGGUGAGAUUUUUUUUCUUUUUUCUUUUCUUUUCUUUUUAAUUCCAGCAGCCAGGUGCUCGUAAUGGAGCGAAAGAGCAUGACUCAAGGAAAGGAAGUACAAAGCACAGGUCAGCCUCCAUGUGCCCCGGAGCCAGCUGAGCAGGGGGAGGGAAAUCUAAAGAGAGGAAGAGCUAGUCACCGCAAGAAGACUUGUGACUCAAGGCUUGUGUCACUGGGAGCCUGCGGGCAGUUGAGACCUGAUUGUGUUUUGGGUUUCACUAAACAGAGGUCUCAUUUAAAUUGUUACAGAAUGAUUCUCCUCAACUCUUGUCUGAGAAGCCACUAGUAAAGGAGGAGGCCGUCCUGAACCAGUGGCAGGGCCAGCCUACUGUGUUGCUCAAGCUGACCUGAUACUUACAGAACACUGUCCUCAGGCAAAGUCACUCAAGCCUUGGCAGCGGAAGACAGAGGAAGGCCAUUUUUAUCAUUUUGUCUAAGCAAGGACGAAACCAAGUUUCCUGUAGAUGCCACAGAGCACCAGGAAUGUCCUUAUGUAUCCGAUGGGCGAGGCCCCUGCUUAUUCCCAUGGAUUGCCUCUCUUUCCUCUCUGCCAGCUCUUGUAGCCAAAGAAACACCUUGUUCUCUGACAUCACAGACCUAGAGCAAACAUUACUUUCUGAGACCCUGGGCCCCAACCUAAAUUCUCCAGGAGGUUCGGCCAUGCUUGGAGAGGUCUCCCCUAUGCAGUGCACAGCAGCCUCGAGCUCAGCCAGACACCCAUGUGCUCCCAGAGUUCUUUGCUGGAGAGAUGUUUUGUCUUAGAGUGGGGGUUGAUUCUAUUCUCUAAGUCUGGAUUCAUUUGGAGACCUCCUUGUUACCUUGGGACCGUUUCUUUGCCUCUGAACAUUUCAAUUUCCUGACUUGUAAGUUGAUAUAUGAAUUGAAUCAUGAUCUCAACAAAUUUAUGAAGAAUGAUCAACAAAAGGAAUGAAAGUUGUCCCCCACCACCGGGGUGGAGCCCAGGGCCACACAAUCCAUUCUUUAUAAAAAGUAUUAAUAUUUUGUGUGUAUGAGUAUAUGUAUGAGUAUGUAGGAGGUAAGAGUGUAUGUAUGAGAGAGAGAGAGAGAGAGAGAGAGAGAGAGAGAGAGAGAGAGAGAGAGAGAGAGAGCUCACAUAUGCAGACAUGCAUGUAGAGGUCAGGGCAACUUUUAGGAUCCUGGGUGUCUCCUUCCACAUUGUUGAGGCAGGUGUCUCUGGUUUCUUUACCAGAAGCUUCUGGUCAUUCUCCUGUACCUUCCCCCAACUCCGAUCUUGCCACAGGAGUACUCGGAUGACAGAUGCGCACUGCUGUGUGGGUGCUGGAGGUAGAGCUUGGGUUUUUAGGAUUGUGUAACAAGUGCUUGGCCUCUGAGCCAUCUUGCCAGCCCUACACGUAGUCCUAAGCUUUGAGAGUGUUAUGAGCUUAGAAGCUGAUCCUUGUCUGUAUCUGCUAAGGAAGCUACAGAGGGCAGUCUCAGCAGAACCUACCCCCCCCAAAAAAAUUGCUUUAAAAACCAGGGUCACAUUCAUCUGGAUGGAGGCAAAUGUCCCUACUGAUUGACUUUGUACCAUCUAAAUAGAAGAAGGUUGUUCCCUCAACAGCCACUAUGAAAUUUCUAUUGGGCUUCAGUGUUCUGAAGGGAAACUGUAGAACCAAGGCAUUGUGCAGCCCUGGUUAUCCCUGCAUUACCGUCACCCUAGUGUUCCGGGGGGGAAGGAAAGGGGCUGCCCACAGCAGAGGAGUCCAGUAACUCCUCUAGCCACACGCCUGGGAAAGGGCAGAGUGCAAAUUCAGGGUCACAUCCAGGAUCCAGUUUAAGCCUCUUCUCUUUGCCAGGUCUUGGAGGAACUGGGAUUUUAGCCAAAAGACUGCUUCAAAUACCGAGGAAAGUGUCUGUUACUGACUGACUUACUAUGGAGCACCCAAGAGAAGCCUUCUUAAUUACCACUCACAGCCCAGGAGUCCCUGCUGGGGGUGGGGAGGGAGGGACACACACACUCACCUAGAGCCCCCAGUGAUAAGAUGCAUGCUAAGCCAACCAGGGAAUAAAGUCUUCUCAAAGAAGGCUAGCCUUCAGUACUGCCCGGAAUAGCGUGAUACUACCUGUUCCCGGAAGGCUGGGAUGACAUUUCCCAGCCAGGCAGACCUGAGAAAGUUAACUGGUGGCCAUAAGUUGCUAAUUACAAUCUAUUUACAAGUGCUUAGAUGUAGAUAAAAAUGUCAAUGUCUGGGGUUGGGGAUUUAGCUCAGUGGUAGAGCACUUGCCUAGCAAGUGCAAGGCCCUGGGUUCGGUUCCCAGCUCCGAAAAAAAGAAAAAAGAAAAAGAAAAAAAAAAAAUGUCAAUGUCUGAAUCGCUCCCUACCUCACGCCCUCAAGAGGAUAGAUAUACUUCUAGGCUAAGCAAACCUGAACCCAUGUGCAGUUAGCUAAGGAAGAAUUUAAGUCCUGAGGAUUCACAGGCUGGCCCUGCUAAUAAAGCUUGAUGAGAAAAUAUAUAGACCGCUCCUUCCCCAAAGAAGCCGUUUUUCUCCUUAUGAAGCUGACCUUAUGAUGUAGGUACCUUCUUAAAGAUUGACCCAUGACUUAUUCUGCCAGAAUUCUGCAAAACCCGUUUUCCGGCUUGAGAUGGGAAAUUUGGAGAUUUCUGGGUUUUUUAUUUUUAAGAAUUUAUUCUUUCUUAUUCAUAUCUGUGCAUGUGCACUUACAUGCACACAGUAGGGUGACACAUUAUUGCAGGUACCCUUGAAGGCCAGAAGGCGUCAGAUUCCAGGAACUAGGGCAGAAGCCAUCUAACAUGGAUGCUAGGAACCAAACUCAGUCCUUUGGGAAGAGCAGCAAGUGCCCCCUGGGAAUUUCUUUUAAGAUUAAAAUGUGGGAAGACUGCUGGCUGGAAGGGGGUGCUCAGGUGCCUCCCUCAGCCGAGCAGCUCCUGGUCGCCAGCCUUCCUUCAACUCCCCUUUCCAGCAUUUGGGCCACUUCCAGAUUUCAAAGUAUGACAGCAUGGGGACUUCAGAGCCACUUCCUCCUGUGACUAAACCCGAGAGUGUGGGAGCACGCUGGGGAAGUAGGGAGAGUGGAUAGGUGCUGGAGAAGUUGGUGAUGAGUGUGGAUGGUUCAGAGUUUGUGCUAGGGUCCUUGUUGGAUUAGGCAUCUGUGGCCUUCAGUGAACACCAAGCAGCCAGUGUCUAGGGAACAGGAAACCCCUCUCCACCCAGAGCCUUUGUCCAGGGACUGGUUAAGCCGGACACACCGGUUGAUUUGCCUAGAAGGGAUUCAGGAAGACCCGAGAGAGGCCGGGAUAUUUAACACUGGCCGCUUUUCCCGAAGAUGCCUUACCAAGUGGCUAAUUGGUCUCUAGAAAACUGCUGUUUUAGUGCUCAAUAUGAAGAUCUUACAUUACAUUAGAGCGUUCCAGGUUCCAAGCAGGAUAUUUAAAACCCCUUGUGGGUCAAAGGAAGAUGUUAGAGCUCACAUCAAAUGUCCCCAUUUUGCAGCCGGGCAUUGAAGUUUUGGAAUAAAACUGUUAAGAGUAAGAAAAAAAAAUUUGUUAGAGAAGCUUUAGUCAGCUUAAUUUAAAUGGAAUGAAUGAAGAAAAACACAGAAAUUAGGGAGAGCACUCUCAAAACAGGGCCAUCAGAUUAGGGUUUACUUGCUUGGGAAGAUCAGUGAAGUGUGUGUGUGUGUGUGUGUGUGUGUGUGUGUGUGUGUGUGUGUGUGUGUGUGUGUGUUGACUAGCAGCUCCUCAGCUUACCUGGCAACCCCGGGUAAUAUUUCACAGCUUGGUGUGAAUUACGUCUGUAUUCUCUUUCCUGAUUAAGUCACCAGCUCCUUCUGGUGUUUUUAUAUUGUGAAAGAAUUGAAUCUCGUGUUAACAAACCACAAUGGGACUGUAAAUGCGGAUUUAAGUAAUUAAUUUGUGCACCUCUGUGUCUUUUUUUAAAAAAAAAAAACAAACCUUAUAUCCCCAGGGCCUAUUACAGUAUCCAGAACAAGUUGAUGCCUGGAUUAAAGGACUGGGUUAGUGAAUGGGUAAGAAAACCAGGCUGUGGUUAAUGGGGAAAAUUGAAAGAGUCAUUAAAGAAUGCUGUCAUUAAAGAAUGUUGCCUUGCCAUUGCUGUUUGUGUUCAUGAGUCCUGAGGAAUUUGGGGGUAGCAUUUCCCUGUGGGAACAUGAAUGGCUGGAGUACACACCUGGAGGGACAACUCCGUAGUCUGGCUUAGGGACAGGUGUUGGCCCCCUAUUGCCUAUUCUUCCACUUCUCCACUCUUGCCUUAUUCACAUCCCCUGAUCCCUGCGUGACUUUAGACAAUCCAAUCCCAAAAGACUUCUUCCACGUCCACACUUUAAAUAGGUACUUGUUGAAAGGCUUGGUAGCUGAGGCAGAGAGGAACAGGGUGGAGGAAGGGUGGACGAUGUUGAAUGACUAGCUGUCUACUCUCAUGCAUGGAAUAGCUUUGCAUAUCGUCUGAGCCGAUUUCCUCUGUCUUUGGACAGAGCUGUCUGGCAUUAAGACAUAGCCUGACUCAUAGCUCUGGUUUUCAGCUUCUAAAGCGUCUUGUUCCUGCCCUGUGGAGGUGGAAGGCAGCCUUGAUGAUGAACAGCAUCUCUGUCCAGCAUCCUUCCCCUCCCUGGGAUCCAGCAGUCUCUGAGGAAGUCAGCAGCCAUGACUCUGGGAAGCCCAGUUAGAUGUUACUUAGUCCUCCUUGUCUGCAAAAUUCUGGGGCCAGGAAGAAAGCAUCCCUCCAAAAUGGGGACCAACUGGUUUUAAGUUUUAAUCUUAUCAAGAGCCAGUAGAUGUUUAAAGUAGAGGAAAUUUAUGUAGUCUCUAAGUAUCUCCCCACACAUCACUUGUCAAUGACAACAGAAAAAGUUCUAAAUGAAUCCUCAGGCAAACAGGCUUGGAUAUAAACAGGUCCAAAGAAUGAGCACCAUUAAUACCCACUAAUGUUACAUGACACCCCGAGAAGGACACUCACUUGCUUGUCUAGAAUUCUAGCCCAAAUCACAAGAACCGAAUCUAAUUAUGAACAAACAUCAGACAAACCGAACAGGGAGGGAGGGAAACUCUCUAAAAUAAUUGGCCUGAAUUCUUUAAAAAAAUGUCAACAAUCAUAAAAGACAAAGGAAAGCUGUAACAAAGGAAAGGAGAUGAAAGAGGUCUGACAACCAAAUGUAACCCAUUAAUAAUCCAGAGCUAGGGGCAGACACCAUUCCAGUCCCUGGAGAGGCACAAAAGAAAGUGCAUCCAAGUUUCUUCCUGACCUGCAGUUAUGGGAAAACACCCUCUUUAGUAGAUACACAUUGUAGGUAAUGAACAAGAGUCAUUAUGUGCCUAUCUUAUAUUUUGGGGCUGGGAGCUUAGCCUUUAACAGCUAAGCCAUCUCUCUGGCCCCUGUCUUUUUUUUUUUUUUUUUUUCUUUUUUUUUGGAGCUGGGGACCGAACCCAGGGCCUUGCAGUUGCUAGGCAAGCGCUCUACCUCUGAGCCAAAUCCCCAACCCUCCUGUCUUCUUCUUAAAUGCUCCCGGAGGAACCCUGGUGGAGGGUGGACAACCACAGUGGGAAGGAGAAAGCAAGUGUUGCAAAUGGAUGGAGGGUAAGGAGUCUUUAUAUAUUUUUGUAGCUUUUUAUAGCUAGAAAUUGUAUCGAAAUAAAAGGUUACAAAACCCCGAUUACCUUCCUUAUCCUGCCUAUAAAAACCAACAAGGGAGAAAAAGGAGGGAAGGAGGGAGGACUGGCUAGUUACUUCACCAGCAACCGGAGAGAGCAACCAUUCCCUUUUUGUCCUACACCCCUUCUCCCAAGUCCAGGCAACCCGGCUGGUGGUUGCUGACCCAUUUGGAGGGCAGUUGGGUCCAGGGAAAGAAGUUCAUGGUGCCAGAGACUGGCUCAACUCUGUCCCACAGAGCCAAGAAUUCUCUCCGUGGCAGUUAUGGUGGCCACACAUUGAGGCCAGUAGGAAAACAGUCCAUUUGCCAUGUUGAACACUGUGAUGAGUGAACGGUGAAGAAUGUCCCCCAGUGAAGGGAACGGCCUGGGAACCCUGCAUUCGGUUCUAAAUAUCCUUGUGAGGCCCGGUGUGGAAAACAGGAAACAGCAGUUAAAACGGGAAAUCGCUUUGGGCUGAAUUACUGUAAUCCCUCAUUUUACUUAGAAGCUGGCAUGGACCCUUCAUCCACAGCGGGAUGCCUCUGGCCUCUCUGUGCCUUGAUAAUUUUGCCCUUUCACUAGGGUGGAGCAUUACCAAGCCCAGAGGCAUUUAGGCUGGAAUUGCUACCUUUAAGUGUGCUUAGAAAUUGGGAUCUUACAGGGCUGUUUGUUUUCUCCCAGGCUCUGGGAUGAAAAACAGCCUUAGCAGCUCUGCUAGCUUGGGUCCCCUCCUCCUGCCCUCUCUUGUUUUCUGGUAGCAAGGUUGAGCACACACAGAGACUUACAGCCCAGCCUAAUAAUAACCCCACAGUCAGCAACAUGGUUAUUAUCAGGCUAGGCAGCUAAACAGAGGUACACCCCCCAAACCAGUGAUAACACCAUGCGGGGUGGCUUGGUGGGCUGCUUGCUGAGUGAGACUCUGAGUGAGAAAGCUUGAGCCGUUCUUGCCUUUGGAAGGAGGGUGGCUUUUCUGUGUGACCUGGACUGCACCCUCUGAUGGAGAUUCCAUCUCGGCCGCCUGCUUCCUGUCUCCUGUGCCAAGCACUCAGCCAUGCCUUCCUGGCCCUCCUUGACGGCUUCUAUUAUUCCUAUUUAACCCCGGCUCUGAUCUCUUUUGCACAAAUCCCAUCUUCUAGCCUAGCUGUUCUGUUUAGGGGGUUCUCAGAAGUCCAAGCAAAUGCAAGUGAAACAAUUAUUCGUUUCUUUUCUGAGCCUCCCUCUCUUUCUUCCUUUCUCAGCAGUAUCUGUUUCUGCCUUUCUCCCUCUUCGGUGAUUAGACUUAUUUGGGAUCUUAAACUCAGAUCUGAUCACCCAGCAACCCACUGGGAUGAUUCAACCUUAGUGAUUCUUUUCUCAAUCAUGAAUUCAUUGGACACACAUUUACAAAGCUGUUUAUGUGCUUGGGUCUUUGUUAGACUAAGGCAGGCACAGGGUUGAGGCAAAAUAAGCCUGGAAUGGCUUCCGAUGGUAGAGAGAAGAAGUAGAAAUAAACUGACUAUGAUGUGGGAAUAGAAAGGAGAUUCCUUGGAAUCUGUGGCUGGUGAAGAGGCAGUGUGUGCCUUAGGUCCUCACAGACUAGAUUGACACAGAACAUUCACUCUGGGUAGCAGCAUUAGGACCAGAGGCAGACUUUCCUGAGACUAUCAACUAUGCUAGUGGCAAGAAACCAGGGCGAGAGAGCUGGGCUUUGCAUGUGAAUUUCACUGCCUAAUCAUGAAGAGCAUCUUUCCCCAGAGGCAGGAGAAACCCAGUGUGUGUGAAAGGGCCCAAACACCACUGUAUUGGGGUAGGCAAGACAGGACAAAGGGACCUGAGAAAGUCCACCUGCCUCCCUGAAUUUGGAAAGUGGAGUGGAGCGGCAAACCAGACUAGCAUCCCCUGGAUAGGUGUGCUUUUUUAGUCAAAGGAAUUAAUUUCCAAGUUCAGCUAGCAAGUGUCUCAGUAGGAUAGUUAGGCAGUAAGCAGUGCCACUCUGUCCUUGUGCUUCCCAUAUUUGGAACAAGAGGCAGGGAGAUUCCAGGGAGGGGACAGUUUAAUGGGCACUUGGGUGCAGAUUCAUUCCAUUCAGAUAGGGAGAAGCACCUGCAUUUGGUGCUGCAGAUCCAAACAUCUAAGUGACUCCCAAGAGGCGUGGUCAUUCUACAGAAUCCAUACCACCUCAAAUACCAUUGUAGCCGUCAGUUUGACAUAAUCGGGGGUAAUUGAUAAAAAACGAGUACGUAAUUAGCAGAUGCAUGAUUGGCUCUGUAGACAGGUCUUCUGCUAAAUCAGAUGCAAAUGUGGCUCCUCCUGCUUUCGACCCCCCCCCACUUUCUCCUCUUCCUCUUCCUUCAGCCACUCCUGCUCCUGCCCCUCCCCCUCCCCCUCCUCCUUCUGCUCCUUUUUCUAUCUAUUUACUAUUUAUCUAUUUGUUUAUCUCAAGACACGGUUUCUCUGUGUAGCCCUGGCUGUUCUGGAACUCACUCUAUAGACCAUGCUGGCCUUGAACUCAGAGAUCUGCCUGCCUCUGCCUCCCAAAUGCUAGGAUUCUUCUUUUUAAAAAUUACAUUUAUUUUAUUCCUUUUAAGAAGGGAGGGACAGGGGGUUCAUGUGCUACAGCACAAGUGUAGAGGUCAAAGGACAACCUGUAUGGUUGGUUCUCCUGCUCCAUAAAUGUGGCUCCAGGAAUGGAACUCAGGCUAGACAGCAAGUGCCUUUGCCCACUGAGCCAUCAUGCUGACCCAGACACUGUAACUGUUGAGGUCUUUUUUAUGCUUGCUUGGAAUUCUAUGUGAUGUGACGUCAGAGGCUUAAUAGUUUAUAUCUUUUGUGUGUUAUACAGACUUUCAGUUUCAGCAAUGAGCAGCUGUAGUCUGCUCCGUGUAGGAAGGAGGUAUUUCUACUGGGAAUCCAGUAUCUGCUUUUGAACUCACUUCAGUUUCUCAUCUCCUUUACCACCUGCUGACUUUCAGGCUUAUUUCAUAUUUUUCCCCAUUCAACAUAAUUUUUCUUUUCUUUUUGUGGUUUUCUUGAGGCAAAGUUUCUCUGUGUAGCCCUGGCUGUCUUGGAACUUGCCCUAUAGACCAGGCCUUAAACACAGAGAUCUACCUGCCUGGGCCUCCUGAGUGCUGGGAUUGAAGAUGGGAGCCCCCACUACCUGGCUACUUUGUGUCUCUCUCACUGCCUGGCUACUUUGUGUCUGGGUGAAUGCACCUGGCUUAUAAACCUCCUCGUGUUUAUAAGCCAAGCACUUUACUUAGCAGGUCUAGAAGAGAGAGAGAGAGAGAGAGAGAGAGAGAGAGAGAGAGAGAGAGAGAGAGAGAGAGAGAGAGAGAGCGCUAGCUCACUGACCAGAUCUCAGACAUUUGGCAUUCUGAAGGUCUGGACUAGUAUUCUGGGGUUGGAGUGGGUUGGCCCAUUUUGGUCAUGAUUGUGUUGACUUUGCCCUGCUUGGGAUCUGAUAAGCAUUUGACACUAAGUCUCUGACCUGGGCAUUUAGAAAGCUGCAGGAUAGGUGUGCCAAGAGACUGACUGCAUUGGCUUUGCUAAGCUGGCUCAGGUUUCCUAAUUGAACAUUCAGGAGAAGCCCCAUCUUGCUGCUCCCUGUGGCUUUCCUUGUCCCUGGAGUCCUUCUCACUGUUUGAUUGUGGCACUGCUAAAAUCUGUUCUUCAAAGAAUCCUUAACCUCCAACUCCAUCAACUCCUAUCUUUUCUCUGUAGCAUUCGUCAGUAUCUGUUAUGACAUGAUUUAGUUUUUCUGUUUAUUUUCUUCAGUUCCAAGGGGAACACAACUCCAUGAAAGCAGGAGCCCUAGAGACAUGGUCUGUAGAACAGUGCUUAGCUCCUGACAUGGUGCCUGAAAGAACCAAUAAACGAAUGCGGGAAUGGAGAAGCAAAUCAGCUUGACUUGCCUUUUUAUUUAUUUACCCUUUAAAAAAAAUUUAUUUAUUUUAUGUGAGUACACUAGCUGUCUUCAGACACACCAGAAGAGGGCAUCGGAUCCCAUUACAGAUGGUUGUGAGCCACCAUGUGGUUGCUGGGAUUUGAACUCAAGACCUCUGGAAGAGCAGUUGGUGCUCUUAACAGCUGAACCAUCUCUCCAGCCCCUCAUUGGUCCUUUAAGAAAGGGUCUCAUUUAUCUCUGAUUGGCUUCCAAAUUACUGUAUAGCUGAGGAUGACUUUGAACUUUUGAUGCUCCUGCCUCCACUUCUCCAGUGCUAAGAUUACAGGUGUGCGCCAUCAUGCCAGUGCACAUAUCCUUGGCUUCCAUUUCCUUCCUAUUCUAUACAGCCUUUCCUAGGCCUAUGGUGGAAAAGCAUCCUUGAAGUCCAUAGAGAACGCUCUCAUAGAUGUCUUGACCACUCCUUGUUCCUAGGAUGUGGCUCAGAGCAUCCAGUGCCCAAUGAAACAAUGUACAAUGAAAAAGCUGGGGAGAGGAGUGGAGAAAGUUCACAUACACAGUGCUGACCCGAGGCAUGGUAUGCCAUGACUUUGCACCCUAGGUGCCUUCUUGAGACAAUUAAGUGAGCUCCCAUGUCUAAAGCUCAGAACAGCGCUUGCCAUGGUGAAUUCCUGUGUGUCUAUGUGCCUCCCGUUAAAACCAACAGGUAUAGACGUAUUCUUUAUGUGGGGCAUUUGACCCUUGCUGCUCAACCCCAGAACUCCCCCUUUCCAAACUGCUGAGUGGGAACCCUCCUCUUUGCCAACCCCCUUUUCCCACUGUCUCCAACCCAGACACUCUGUCCAGGUUCUCUCUUCAAACGCCUAGAGUCCUAGAAAGCCUGCCCUUUCUUUGGCAGUGAGUCUGAAUGAUGUGGGCAGUAGAUAGUGGGGUGUUCAGAUAAGAAGUCCCACCCCCGGGGCCCACAAUGGCAGGCCCUGGUCAUUUUGCAGUCUUGCUUGUGGCUGGAGCAAUGUUACAAUUCUGUUAAGAUUUUCAUCAUACCAGUCAGGAAACUCAUGGGAGGGUUGCUACAGGACCUUCACUGUGCUCAGAGAAAGCUUAGCCCUUACAAUGGGGCCUUUGAAAACGGGGCCCAGAGCUGGGCAGUGAUUCAGUCUAUUCAAAACACAAUGGGGGGACACAGAAUAGAAAAGGAACUGCACAUUGUUUUCGGGUCCCUCUGCCAUCUGUAGCAUUCCUGCGCCCAGCAUUAGCUGUGUUUCUCUGGUGACACACUUUUAAUUUCACAGCAUACCUGCUGGCCUGUCAGCAUCACUUCACAGACACUUGAAUAGUGCCAGACCCAUUGGUGUGCAAGCCCACAGCCAGCAGGUCCUCAGAAGCACUCUUAGGAAAGGGUGAUUACGCUUUGACUUAACUGGGCAUGGCAGUGCCUAUAACUCCUGCACUUGGGAGGUGGAGGCAGGAGAGGCAAAGGUCGAAGGCCAUCCUCAGCUACUAUCAAGAGACCCCGCCUUAAAAACAAACCAUAUCUCCCCAUGAGACAAAACAAAACAGAACAGAAAACAGACUUUGACUUGGAGGCAAGAAAACAUCAAUUGGAUAUAUUUAAAGGUAUUCAAAUGACUCUUAAGAAGUCAACAUUUUGCCAUGAGAUACAGUCUGGGGAGAUGGCUGAGUGGGUGAAGCGUUUGCCUUGUAAACAGGGGGACCUGAGUUUGAUCCUUGGCACCCACAUAAAAAGUUGGGUGUGUGGGCGCACAUUUGUAUUCAGCACUGAAGAAGUGGACAAAAGAGCUCCCCUGCAGCUCACUGGCCAGCCAGUCAAGCCUAGUUAGUGAGCUUCAGGCCAAAGAGCGAUCCUGUCUCAAAGGAGGAAGAAAACCUCCUGAGAAUGACACCCAGCAUUGUCCUCUGUCUUUCAUAUGGGCACACACAGACACAAGACAUUUUUUAGAUUACUUUAUUGUACGCAUAGGAGUGUUUUGCUUGAGUGUCUGUUUGUCUACCACACGCGUGCCUGCAGAGAUCAGAAGAUAGCAUCAGACUCCUUGGAACUGGAGUUAUGGAUGGUUGUGAGCCACCAUGGGGGUGCUGAGACCUCAACCUGGGUCCUCUGCCAGAGCAGCAAGUGCUCUUAACUGAUGAGUCAUCUGUCCAUCCCCAAGCCCCACUUCCCUCCCGUACCCCACCCCCCACCCACCAGCCAUCUUUGUCUCCGUCCCCACCCUCCUCCCCGCCCCUUCUCUCUUUCUCCCUCUAAUCCUGCUGGGCUUGAACUUUCCAGCCUUCUGACUCAGCCUCCAAGCUCAGGAGUUAGGGAUGUAAGCCACCACACCCACUCUAAGAGACUGGAUAGUAGGUAGGCAGUUUAAAAGCUGAAUUUACCACUCGUCAGUUUACGAAGCAGAAUGAGUUGCGGUUGCCUCACGAUGGAGACUGGAAGGAACUAUUUUCCCUGUUGUUGGGGUCCCCCCCCCUUUAGAGCACGUACAGCAUUUUAUAUUAUUUAUCCACAUGACUCACUCUGGGAUCAAACAUCUCUUCUUUGUUGUGUGUUUAGAUCUUGGGUUGUUUUAUUUCCUCCCCUCCUUAAUGUUUUCCUCAUGUUUAAUUUAAAUCAUUCGCCUUUUAUCUUUCUCUGCAUCUCGAGCUAUUUCGUUCUUUUCUAACCUUUGUUCCCCUUCUUGCUGCUUGGAGUUUAAAAACAAUAAGUCGAGAUGCAUUUUCUUUCUAAGUGCAAAGUGAGUGGCUACUUCAGGACUGCGCACACAGCUAGUCUCCAGCAAACAAAAGGCUGAAGACUUUUCCUUUUGGCUCCCAUGCAGUCUUGGGGUGUGGGAUAUUUGAUUAAUAAGUAAUCCUGUGCUUUGGCCCAACUCCCAGGAAGGAAAAGGGUCACAGACCAGGGAGAAGGUUACGUAUUUCCUGGUAUUUUGGGGACGUUUGCACACAUGGAGACAGCAUAUACAGUACUGCUACUCUCUGCAAGGCAGAAGCUAUACAAAUGUGUUUGUGAAUGAACGUGUGGUCACGCUGCACAUUUCUAAGUACAACUCCCUGGGACCUUCUGUUUUUCUAUUCACUGUCAUUUCUAUUCACUGGAGCAGUGUCUUCUGUAUAAAGAGUUGACACUUUCUUUUCCACCUAACAGGGAGACAGCAGGCGUCAAGUUCUGCUCCGUGGUAUCAGGCACGGUCAAAACAAGUGAGGCCAGGUUUAGAGAACAGUGGGUGACUUGACUUUGGAAACGGCACGUGUUACAUUUCUUCAGAGGCUGCAGAGAUGACUCAGGGGCUAAAAUACUUGCCUUGCAAGCAAAGGGACCUGCAGAACUCAAGUCAAAAAGCUUGGUGUUAGCAACCACUUGUAAUUCCUGCUCUGGAGAGGCAGACACAGGAUCUCUGGGUUUCCUUGGCCAACACCCAUCGUUGACCUCUGGUUUCUACAUAUGUACACAUGUAUUUGAGCAUGUCUGCAUACUGCCCCCACCCCACCCCCACCACACACAGAUUUCCUUCAGCAAAUUUCUAGCUGACUACUUUGACAGUUGGUAUCCUAUGCUGUCUGUUUUGUCUCUGUGUGGAUUUCUUUUAGUAUAUUUCACUCCACUCCUCUGGUGGGAUUUAGGUACCUUGCUUCAAAGAAAAGUCAAUAUCUAUCCACUCCUCCUACCCCCACACAUACACAUACAAUUUGGUUGAGAAGCCUGAAGACCAGAGCAGGAGACAAGACUGAGACCUGUGUCACAGGAAGGACAGCUCCAGAGUUCUGGCCUCCCCGUAACUGUUAACCAUUAGAGAUCAGUCAGGAUGUGUUGGAAAUGCCCCUAUGUUUAUAGAGUGACAAGGUCUGUUUCACAGCCAAGGUGACUCUCCCUCUAUUUCAUCAAUAUAACACCUAAAUGCCUCUCUCUCCCUCUGUCCCUCCUUUCUUCCCUCCAUCCCUCCCUUCCUCCUUCCUUCCUUCUCCCUCCUUCCCCCUCAUACACACACACACACACACACACACACACAUUAAUCUUCAAUAACACACACACACACACACACACACACACACACACACACACACACACACUAAUUUUCAAUAAAAACAGGGUACCAAACCCGUAACUUAGCUCUCGGUACAUAGAUGGAGUUCAUGAGAAGUUGCACACCUGAAAGUGACACGGGACACCUUGGUGUAUCACAGACUACAGUAAGAAAUAAAUAACAAUAACCAGAAGUUUUGACACAGUGUCUACACAGUUGUGACAGUGUCUUGAUGUGAUUCAUCCAUGCCCUGCAAUCCCAUCAGACACGGCCAGCUCACAUUUCAUUUUCAAUUUUAGUGAUUCCCGCAGAAGAAAGUACACAUCAGAAGGGUCAUUGUGAAAUUCCAUAGCCAGAGGUCUCAAGGCAGAUGGUUUCUGAUUCUGCAGACCAUCCCCUAUGCUCUUUUUUUUUUUUUUUGGUUCUCCCCCCCCCACCCCCCCGGAGCUGGGGACCGAACCCAGGGCCUUGCGCUUCCUAGGCAAGCGCUCUACCACUGAGCUAAAUCCCCAACCCCCCUAUGCUCUUUUUUAUCCACAUUAUUGCUCUUUUUGUUGUGUUGUGUUGUUCUGUUCUGUUUUGUUUUUAAGGCAAUGCCCAGGCUUCCCAACCCACCUCCAGCUCAUAAACAGAGCCCUGCGGAGGCUGAAGUUACCAGGAAAGUGUUCCCCAAAGUGAGACUGUGUGGGAUCACCCACUGAAAGGCUAUAUUAGGAUAUGUUAUCUGUCUGUCUUUGUGUUAAGAAACCAGGAAGAACGUAGAGGGAAGAGAUGAGUGGAUUGAAUCAAGAUGUGCUGUUUACCUGGGUGACAUUUUAUAAUAUUCUUAAAGGAGAAUCUGGUUGUGGGGGUCCUGCCUUUUCCCAUCACCCAGACGGCAGAGACAGGUCUUUGUGAGUUCAAGAGCAGUCUGGUCUAGGUAGAAAGCUUCAAACCAUCUCUAUUCAGGCGAUUAUGAGCGCUUGCCUCAACAAAUAAACUAGGAAGAAAUUAAGCUCUUCCGAUCUUACCAUUGGAUGGGUACCAGGGUUCUCACCCAGUCUGACUGCCAGGGAGUCAAGAUUCACCAUUAGUGGGCUAGAGAGAUAGCUCAGCAGGUAUAGAAAUUUCCUGCUCGGCUUGAGGAUCUGAGUUGGAAUCCCAGGAGCCACACAGCGGAAACAGAAGACAGAUUCUCACAGCUGUCCUCUGACCUCCACACACGUGUGUGGCACAUGCAAAUAUGCACACAACUGAACACUAAUGUUUAUCCCUAGAGAAGCUAAAAAAUGUUUAAACACAUAGGCUCAGUUAUGCAUAAACAUCCAAAUGGUAGCUACUUUUCUCUAGGACCUUUGGGAUAAUUAUAAAAUCAAAAUUAAAAUCUUAAGAGCCACCCUUACCAGGUGACUAGAGAAGACUUGAGAGCAGAGAGCCAGUCAGGGAUGGGUUGGGGGUUGGAAGACCCAAAUUCCAGUCCUGACUCCUCCAGAAAUGGUUCUGUGGAUCUGAUGGGUCAUCUCAAUGGCUUUAGACUGGAUAGCUGAGAGAGAAGGCACUUUCUAAGCAGAGUCAAAAUUGUAGGGUUUUGAAUAUGAGUCUGUAAAUAUUUGGGGGACCUUGGAAGACGGCUUAGUGGGUGAAUUCACUGCCAGACAAGCCCAAGAGCCUACGUCGGAUCCUUAUCACCUACCCAAAAUGCCAGGAACGUGGGGUGCCAUGGUGACCUCAACAAUAACGAGGCGGGAACUUGCUUGCCAGGCAUUCUAACCUAACCAUGAGGUUCUGGCUUCAGCGAGAGAGACCCUGCUUCAGAAAACAAGGCAGAUAGACAGUGCCUUAUGGAUGUCACAAGAGGCUGACCUCUGGCCUUUGUGAGCACCUGCACACACAUAUUGAAUAAGUGCCUGCCUAUGUGCACACAGUGUUCUGCCCUGGUUGGUGGUUUAACUGGGUUCUGAGAAGGCAAGCUUAGCAUCCCUGAAGCCCUGGGGUUCAGUUCUCAGCCUGAUGGGAAGAAACCAGGCACAGUGUUUGUAAGGUUAUGUAACCUGCCUGGGCUGGGUUUUUUUUUUAUUUGUUUGUUUGGUUGGUUUUUGGGGUUUUUUGUUUGUUUGUUUGUUUUGUUUUGUUUUGUUUUUUACUGUAGACCUUGAAACUUUUGGCUUUCUUCAGUGUUUAUCUGUAAGGCUGCUCAGGCCUCUGCAGUUAGAACACUUCCUCCUUGAAGAGGGUGUUUCUUCUCGGCCUAACAGUUCAUACCUUCUUUUCCAGUUUGGAUUUGAAAACAUGUGUCCUUGCCUACAGUUAAACCUUGGUACCUGUGUGUGGCCACCACGGAAUCAGACUGUGAUUAGCUCACUCAGAAUCCAGGAUUAGCUCACCGGGUUGGAUCAUCCGAAUCAGUGUUCUUGUAAAGCCACUACCACAACUUGCUUACUGAAUGGGGGUGGGGGUGGGGUCUGUGGCUCUGCCCUGCAGUGGUUAGCAUUCUAGACACUGAAUUGGGGUGUGUGUACCUAGCAAGAGCCCUUCAGAAUCUGUCAAGGAUGGACAGGUCUCUGCUUGUUGCUCCACAGGGCCUGCAGCCCUCUCCAACCUCAGGCCACAACACACUGCCUCUUGCAGACAGGACUUGCAACUUGGGUGUAGCUUCCGUGAGAUAGCCCUUAACAGGGGCAUCAGAAGAUAGCCAUCUGCCUUCUGGUGUACACCGGGGCUUUUAAUUUCAUCACACACAUUUUUCACAUUUCUUGCCCCACUCCCCCCAACACCUCUUCAAACUUCCUUGAGCCCCAAGCCCAUGUUUAUUAUUCCAUUCCAUUCAUACCUCUAGGGUGCGAGCCGUGAGUGGAAAGGACAGGAGAGGUCCUGAGUCCUCCCAUCAGGUACUGAGGGGAGAGAAGGCUUUGUCCCUGGCUCCUGACGCUAAUCUGAACUGUUGAUUUCAUUACUCUGGUAGCUCCCGGCAUCUCUGCAGCCCUGUCAGCCUUCACCACUGUAGUCCAGAAUCUGAUCCAGUAAUCACUUUCCCCCAGUACCUGAAGGGCACUGGGAAUGAGGCCUUUAUGGUUCUGUCUCCCUAAAGGAAUGUAUUUACUGGAGCAGAGGUCAGGCAACUCGAGGAGCCCUCUGCACUCCUGUCAGAAACAGGAAUUGCUUGCUCCUGGACUUGGCUUAGUGUCAUGGAGCCCAGAUAGCCUUGCUCUUCAGCACAGCUCUCCUGGACAGCAAGUGUGCAAUAACAGUGUGCAGCGCAAAGCUUCCUUCACUCCCUGAGGCUGCUGAUCGCUGAGAGCCUUGCUCUGGUUAGCACAUCCUGACACAGCGCCCCCAAGAGCCCGUGAUAUAUUAACACUUUAUCAUUCAUUCUUUUUCCUUUUUAAAUUUUUUUGAGAAUUUCAUACAUGAGUACUAUAUUUACAUCAUUUCUACUCCCUCUCUCCUCUUAACCCAUCUCCUCCCAUAACCCUACCCCCUCCCUCUCAAAUUCAAAACUUUUUCUUCAAUCACACACACACACACACACACACACACACACACACACACAUACACGCACACACACCCCUACUAAAUAUGCAUUUAACAUACAUUUAGCGUUGUUUGUAUGUGUGUAGGUCUGGCCACUUGGGAUUGGAUAUCCCGUCAGCAGAGAACUCGUCUUUGGAGAAAAUGUUCUCUCUCUCUCUCUCUCUCUCUCUCUCUCUCUCUCUCUCUCUCUCUCUCUGUCUCUCUCUCUCUCCGGCCUUGAUUGAGUAGCUCUCCAUCUAGGGCUGAUGCCUCGUGAAUCUCUCCUGUCCUCUUCAGGAGGUCUUGUUUAGGCAACCUUAUUGUUGAGACUCAUGGGUGCUACUUCUCUGUCACGCAUAGGAAGCACUGAAUCUCAGCAGGCACCCUGAUCUGCUGGCUUUUACCCUUUGGAGCUCUUCCGUGAGCCUUGGGUAUGCUGUAGAUGUAUCGAUUGGGCCCAGGCACCCCAUGGUUUAUGCUCUUUUAGUGCUCUGCGUUAGCUUUUAAAAACUUUAAGUGGAUAGAGGAGAUUGCUCAGCUGGUAAAAUGCUUGCUAUGAAGACACAGGAACCUGAAUUCAGAUCUCGUCAAAUCUGUAUAAAGUCAGUCCGCUGCACACCUUGUAAUCCCAGCACUGAGGAGAUGGAGCCAGGAGGACCCCUGAGCCUUGCUUGUUGUCAGUUGGUAUAACCGUUCUGCAAGCUCCAAGUUUACUGAGCAACCCUGUCUCAAAGAAUAAGGUGGUGGCCAGGGAAGUCACCUGACAUCAACCUCCACACACAUGUAUCUGACCCGUGUGUGUGUGUGUGUGUGUGUGUGUGUGUGUGUGUGUGUGUGUGUGUACACUAUACUCAAAGCAUAGGCAAGAAAAAAAUUCCACUACACUUCUAAAAGCUCUUUUCCCCGUUGAGUUCUCAUUGAUUUAUGCCCACACAAUUAAUCUUUUUAGAAAAAUAAAAUAAUAUACAAAAAUAAAAUAAUAUUUAAAAAAAAGAUAGGAGUAAGAAGUUACUUAUCAGACCUCUACUCCUGUUUUGUAUAAGUAAGGCAUUUUUUUUUUUGCAGUCAGUAUAGAAAAGGAGGGAGGAGGGACACACACACACACAGAGAGAGAGAGAGAGAGAGAGAGAGAGAAAGAGAGAGAGAGAGAGAGAGAGAGAGAGAGAGCAGGAUUCUUAGAUAGCCCAGGCUGGCCUCAAACCUGAUGUUUAGCUGAGGAUGACGCCCUGCCUCCACCUCUCAAGUACUGGGAGGUAUCAGUCUGCUACAGACCGUGCACCAUGCACACACUUGGCUUAAGUGGUGCUUGAGGUCAAACCCAGGGCUGUGUGCAUGCUAGACAGACACUCUAUCAACUGAGCCCUAGCCCAGAGAGACUUUUGGUCAGGCUGAUAGCACAGUCUACUGACAGAUCUUCUCUCAGGAUAGCAUUAAAUUUAGGAACUGCUAGGGCCCAGAGUUCAUCUAGAAAUCAUGCAGUUACCUUUGGUUUUGUUUCCGUUCUAGUCAGUGUGGCAUGAACAAGAGCUAGGAGCUGGUCCUCAUCAGCUUGCCUGCCUGGUGACUUUGGUCUCCAGCCAAUUAGAGAAACUUCCUACAUAGCUAUGCUUGCCUCAGAGAUGAUCCAUUUCUAACCAAGGAUUAGAACACAGGGUGAAGUGGGGCUUUGCUUUGUCACUCUUGUUAGUGAUAGCAUUGUCAAGGAGGUGCCCAAUCCAAGUCAUAUUUGAAUAUGUGUAGAGUUUCUCAGUUGUGAAGAAUAAACUUUUGUGGAUCUGGCCUUGCCCAACUUAUAUGCAAGUAAGACUCUGCUGAAGCCUGCCAAUUGGUCCAACAGUGCUCCACCCACCUGACUCACCUGAGAACUUUGUACUUGAAUGCAGGAAUGAUGGGGUACUUUCUUAAAAGGCUAUCUGAGGAACACUAUCCUAGAGCCUCAGCUAGGGAGACAGAGCCUGCCACUGGGUGACCGGUCCAUCACUGGUUUGAUUAAAAGAUAGAAGUAGAGGUUAAAACACAUUUGCUAUGUGAGCGGAUUACAGCCACCCAGUUCAAAUUGUUCUGUAGCCGGAAAUGUACUUUCCCCAACUAAAGUCUGACUAAUACCUUUAGGUGGACUGUAGACUUAAGAGAAGGAUGACCAUGUUGGGUGUAGUGGCACACACCUAGAAUCUUUAAACUCAGGAGGGUCAGGAGUUCAAGGGCAGCCUUUGCUGUAUAGCAGGUUUGAUGCCAGCCUUGGCUACAUGCUUCAAAAAGCCAGAGAAGGGAUAUCUGUAAGGGGACUGCUUCUUCUGUGUUGACUUCCUGAGGUUGGAGACAAGUAGGUCAACUUUGGAAACUUCUCAGUGAAGCCUCUGGGCUCAGAGUCUCUAUUCAUCCUUCCCGUAGCUGCCACAGUGUGGUAGUUGUGGAGAUAAGAUAUCCUGAGAUGAGCCAAAAGACAGGUCUCACAAUGUAGCCCAGGUUGGCCUCAAACCUGCCCCAGCCCCCUGAGCGAUUACUGGUGUGAAACAACACAUAGAGUUUCAUUGGUCUAUCCUGUAUUCACUCAACUUGUACUGGUUGACACAUUGUACUCUUUGUCAAACACUGGUCUGCAUCCUGACCAUGGGGGCACCUCAGGGGACAGAUAUCCUCUGAAGACUGACUCCACACUAUGGAGCUUGGUCUUGUUGGAGGCCAUGUUGAACAAGGCUGUUCUGUGAGUUCCGAGCUUUGGGGCUUUGCACCAAUACUCACUAUAUUGUACAUGCUUCUCUCUGAGCAGAAAUACUUCAUGGUGUUUUUAUACUAAUGAAAGAACACAGUUUAUAGUCAGGGAGGCAGUGGACUUUAGAAAGAUCGUGGUUGCAGUGCCACUCACUUUGUUAUGGGAGGCAGAACCCAUGGUGUUUAACUCCUGACCUCAGAAGGCCUGGGUUUGAAGCACAGUGUGUGUGUGUGUGUGUGUGUGUGUGUGUGUGUGUGUGUGUGUGUUUUGCUGAGCAACUUAACCUUUCUGUAUGCCAAUUUCCUGCCUGAUAAGAUUGUUAGAAUUAAACAAGUUACAUAUUAGAUGUUAAAAUAGAAUGACAUUUAACUAUUCUAUAAUCAUAAUAAUUAUAUUCUAUAUCAUUCAUUCAACAAGUAUGUGUGGGCCCCCACAAAUGCAUUGGUCAUUGUACUAGGGCUGGAUAGAUGAUGAAUGGAGUAUACUUCUGGGAACCAGGUGCCACACUGCUGUCACAUGGGAUGGGGUGGGGUUCUCAGAGAGGGCAGCCUGGACUGGUGGAGCAGGAGUUUACAGGCAGUGGGCGUAGGAGGUAGAGUAGGGAGGAGCUUGCCAUAGAAUAUUGCAUCCAAACGGAGGACAGUGUGACUCAAUGAUUCCAACACACACACACACACACACACACACACAGAGAGAGAGAGAGAGAGAGAGAGAGAGAGAGAGAGAGAGAGAGAGAGAGA